UGAAGAGGAAGAGGGGAAGGAAACAGGAGUAGACUAAAGGGGCUCUUGAUUGUGGGCACAAGGGCUCCAUAGGAUGGAGAGAGGGAGGAAGCAGCAAACAAGGGAAGAAAAAUUACGCAGUUCAACAACUACACAAACCUGCUGGGAGACUGGGAAUGCAGUGCCAUCAAGUGUGCAGAAUGAUGUCCACCAUUAUCUCUUCUCUUGAUCUAAUUCUGUGAGAUGCUGUUGAGGACCUGAGUCAGUGUCUAAUAUUAACAAAAUAUAGAAUCUGAAGUUUAAACUAAAGAGAAAUCCUGGUGGCUCAGCCUGCUCUAAUUGGGGUUCCACCCACCUUGAGGAACUCAUUCACCUGGCAUUUCACUGGAUUGCCAGAUGACUGGGGACGCAUUUAUAUUACUUCAGGUUUUGCACUAUCGGCCUGCACCCCUUUUUUACAGCAACAACACCAGCAUCAGCAGGUGAAAAUAUGGGGUGGACCUUCUUGGUGGAAGUGCCAACCCAGAUUGUGGACUUGAGAAGCUCCAGUAGAACUCCCCUCUGCCUGCUUUUCCAGCAUCAGGUAAAAACAAUGUUUUUAAAUUAGCUGGUGUGUGUUUGGCUGAUAGCAGCUGAAUAAUUUUGCUUUACUGCUAGAUUAUUUUUAAGUGUUUUUAUUUUGAGUUGUAAGUUGUUUUGAAGGCUUCUUACAUUGGGUGGAAUAUAAAAUUUUAUCUGAAGUCUGUUGUGAACAGGAAGGAGAAUUCAGGACAGUGGUUGUGCAGUUGUUUGGAUCCUAAUCAGUCCUCUUCCAUAAAUGGGAUUUGGGCCAACAUUCUUCAGACAGCAGCUCCUCACCUCUCCAUGUGCCUCCCUUCCAAAACCACAUGGCAAGGUGUUGAAGCUGCUGGGACUUUCAAAAGCAGUUUGUAUUCUGGCAUGAUUCAAAUUUAAACAUUCAGAAAUCCCACUUGUGUGCUGAAACCUUUGGGCAAGCUGAAAGUAAUUCUUUAGAUCACAACCUGUAUUUUACACAUUGUAUUUUCUGUUUUAAGCUGGUAAUUUGUACAUAGCCAGCAUGAUUAUAUAGAGAUUGCUCACAUUAAUCCCAUUACCCCUUUCCUCUUCUGGUACUCGUUUGGGUCAGGAACCUGUCUUAUUUGCUUAUGCUUCUUUGUAAAGUACUACAUACCCUUGAUGUCAUGAUACAAAAGAGAAUACUGAUCAUCUUCCCCUAAACAAGUCCUGAUGGAAUUACUAGGAGCCACACAGAUUCAGUACCGUAGUCUUUCCAACUUCCAUUUAUUUCUCUGAAGCUUGCAGAAGAGAACCUCCUGAGUGACUCUGUCCCAUGUUAAUCAGUUGAGAGGGGGCUGCUACCUCAGCCACCAAAAUGUAUUGGGCUGCUCCUGCGUAUGCCAUAAGUAGGAAGAAACAUAUGGCUAAAGUGGAAACUAAAAGUGAGCUGGAGCAUAAAUGUAAAUGUGUAGAUAUCCCAGGAGAAACAUAACCAGAAUAGAUAUUCAACACAACAUACUUUCUUAACAAUAAGUAAGUUUUGAUAUUUGUGUAUUAGUGUGAUUUAAAAAUUAACAACAAAAAAGUAUUUAAACAAGAUACUUACGUUGCAUAAAAAACACCUAAUACUUUAUAAGAAGGCUGCUCUUGAAACAUACUAAUCCCCCUUCCAAUAUGUGUUUUAUGUGAUUUGGGGCCAUAUUUGAAAAACAAUUCUUGUAAAUGCAAUUCACAAUUCUAGCAGAAAAUUACAUUUUGUGUUUCUGUAAUGAUCCCAUGAGUUCUUUUUUGCAUAAAUCCUUUCUUCCACUUUGAGAUACAAAUCUGUUUUACUGAAGACAAAAUGCAUUUUCAGCUGAAAAAAUGUAAAUUAAUUUUCUUAGAAAAUUCCUCUGUGGGCCCUAAGUUCUGAAAUAUGAGGAUCACUGGCGUUCUUUAAGAAAGUGGUAAUUUGAAUUUUUACUACUAUUAACUUUUUAUUGGUAAUUUGAAUAUUUUGCUAUAAUUACAAAUUCCCUUUUUAUCAAGGAUAUAGGCUGUGUUUAUCAGCCCUGUUGCAUUGUUCAUUGCUGACGUUUGGAAAAAGUAGCAAUUUGUAUGUGGCUUAGAAAUUUGUCAUGGACAAUUUUCUGUUAAGUAUAAGAAUCAAUUCCUUAACUACUUAUGCAUCUGAGAAGCCUGAAUUUAUAGUAAAAUGUCAUGUCUCCAUUUCUUAUGAAUUUCAUUGUACCUUUUAAAAGAAAACCCAGUUCUUUCAGAGAAGUUCCUUGCUGUUCCACACUGAUAAAAUCAUUUCAGCUGGCAGAAGUUCCAUCCCAAAUCUGAGCCCUCCUCAGUGCACAGCACUUUAAGUGGAAUGAAAUGCUCCACUUUUCUAUGUAUUGUUUGUGCCAAAGAAGCCUUGAGUUCGAGCACAUUUACAUCUGUUUUGGGUAAUUCUCUGCAUAUGUUCCAAAAUGUAAGUUAUCCAUCUUACCCAAGAAACAGCAUUUGUUGGAAACAGUUUGCCAAUUGGAAACUCGAUUGAAUUUGUUCUAUCAUGCUGAGGCUUCAUUUGAGGUCUGAAAUAUGUUCAUCUUUGUUCCUCCAGCUGUUUUACCAUUCUGAACCAAAAGCUUUUCCUACAGCCUAAGUCCUCAAACUUGCUAUGCCAAUAAGUUGUCAUAAGACAUCAAAUUAUGCUCACAUUAGAUGUUACUUUAUGCUAAGGAAAACUUGGCUCAGCAGGGACUCAAUUGGCCUCUUGAGUUUAUCUGCCUGCCUAGGAUUGCAAAAGUGGAGUUGGGCUUGUUAAGCACCUGGUAGGCUCCAGAAGGUAGACGUUUGGCCUGAGUUUGCAGUUGCUGAGUCUGCUGAGAUUCAAAGGAAUGGAGUGUGGGAGAGUAGAUGAGGGCUGAAGAAUCUGUGUCUCUUUCAGUGCUGCUGGAGUGUAGCUCCCAUCACCUCUGACCAUUGGCUGACCAUGCUUGCUGGGGCUGAUGGCAGUGGUAGUUCAGCAACAGCUGGAAGGCCACAGGUUCCGCACCCUGAGGUGGAUUAUGACAUGGUAGGUUAUGUAACCCAGGGAUACCUGUGGAGGCUACUGAGCAGGUCAAGAAGAAAAACUGGACAAUGCCUGAUAGGCAACAGGGUGUCUGUGUAGCAAAAUAGCAAAUGUUAUCAAGGCAAGCCAAAGAAAGCCAGACUACUUGAACCUCACCUUUCAGUUUAGAUUUUAUUCAGUCUUAUGGAGACCCAAUAGAAAGAUGCUAAAAGAUAUACUAUAUGCUACAUUUAAGACCGGGGGAAAUUUUGGAGUUGCCUGGUUAAAUGGCUUUGUCACAGAAGGUACAGAACCAAGGUACAGUAGGUUAUGCCUUUUGUCUAAAAUGGUUGUUGCACAAUCCUCAAACUGACCUCAGUGGAUACACUGCUGUUAAUUCAUUUAUGUAGGCAUGGUAUUUUUUUUUUUAAAGUGUUCAUUGCUGCCUGGAAGGACCUUUAUGGACAUGUUCCUUUGUCUUUGGGCAGCUUCUUGCUGAAAUGGGGAUUUAGGUGUUCUUUACAAUAUGAUCCUUUGGCUCCUAAGCUGUAAAGAGGCAUUUGCUCUUGUGCCUUUCAGUUUUUCUCCCACAAGAGCUUAUCCAUGAAACCUUCCACAACAGAGUCAAUUCUUCAUUACGUCAAAUGAAAACAAAUAAUAGCCAGGUGUUCUUUUUUAAAAAUGUAUUUUUAUUAAAGAUUUUCUUGAUUUACAAAAGUAUGUGUAAUGUCUCUCGUUUUUUUACCAUGUAACAUUUUUACAAAUCAGUUUCAUUUGUUGAGACAUUAGGAAGAAAAGGGGAAAGAGGUGGGGGGAGAUGGGGGGGUCGGGUGGUGAUGUUUCUGUUUUACUUAAUAUAUGUAGGGUUUGGUGUCAGCAUUGCUUGUGCUGGUUCUCUGCUGUUCACUUGUAUUCCUUUGGUGGUGAGAGAGGUUGGGGUUGGCCUAGGGUGUGGUUGUUUGUUUGUGAUUGGCUGUGGUGGUCUUUGUUUUCAUGUGUGAGUGGGGUGGGUGGGUGUUUUGGAUCAGUUUCAGUUUAUUGGUUAAUUUUUCUAGUAGGGCUGUUUCCCAUACUAUUUGGUACCAUUGGUCCAUGCUUACUCCUGACAGGUCUCUCCAGUGUCUGGUUAUGAUGUUUCUGGCUGCUGAAAGUAGGCGGGUUAUGAGUUCUUGUGUUAUUGUCUUGGAAGAUGUUUAGUAGGGCCAAUUCUGGGGUGAUUUCUAAUACUUGCUUAGUUAUUUUACAUAAUACCCAGGUGUUCUGAAGUCUCCACUUUACUACAGACUCCUCCAAAUGUCUGCUACUUCUGCUCACAUUUCAUCUUAAAACUAACUCUUAAGGGAAUUCGAUACAUUAAUGGACAAUGAGAUUCUUAGUGGCUAUUAGCCACACUGGCUGUGUACUGCCUCCAAUAUUGCAGUAGGCCUCUGAUCACCAUUUGCCGGGAAUCACAAUGGGGGAGGUUGCUAUUGUGCUCAUGUGCUGCUUGUUGGCUUCCCAUAGACAUGUGGUUAGAUACUGUGAGACCCGUCUGCUGGACUUAAAUGGACAUUUGUUCUGGUCCAUGAGGGCUGUUCUUAUGUCUCAAUCCUGUGUAACACAUGGGAUGGUGGUGACUCAUGUUUACAUUUAAGGGUAUAUGUCCAAGUUGCUUCUGGCUCAUUGCUCUAACUAGCAAAUCUCACUCUCAGUUUUGGAGCUGGGCUGGGAGAUAUGCCUGCAGUGAUGGAUAGAGGGAAGUGGGAAGGAGUCACAAUUCCCUCACCUAUAUGACCUUUAGUGCUCUGCCAAAAACCCGUCCUGCUAUUUCUUGAAAAUUUUCUUCCCCUGUGAGAGAGUUUGAUUUUUCUGCCAUUUUCUCAGGACAUUUCAGGAUUUCUUUAGAAUUUUGGCAGAAGUGGGGCUGAGUUUAUCUUAUCACUGCAAGAUGGCCGUGGGUGGGCUUGUUUUUCUCUUUCCAUUACUCAUUUCUCCAGCACUGCGCAGCCUCCCCAGCUUCCUGAUCUGAAAAGAAAAAAAAAUCCCAUAGGAGAAGUUACCUCACGUAUCUUUCCCCAAGCUUUAAUUGAAGCAGGGGAAAUUGGCUACUGAGUGCCUGGGGCUGAGAUCAACAUAGUUGCCAAAUUUGUUUUUAAGCAAAGUCCUUCCUUUUAAUUUUUUUAAUGAACUACACUGAUUUCUUUAAAAGUAAAAAGACUUCACUUAAAAAAAUUCCAUUGAACUUCUGCCAGGCACAGCAGUAGAUACCUUCCACUCUUCCCACUCUUCCAGGAAAACCUAGCUGAGGACAUCAUGGGGUUUUCAGAAAGUGUGGGAACCCGGGAAGGCUGCAAAGUGCAGACUACCAGAGAUAAUGAUUUAAAAAAUGAAAUGAAAGAUGCUCACAACCUUCCCCCCCCCCGGCCUCUCUAAAAGUAAGGAAAGUACAGUGGUACCUUGGGUUAAGUACUUAAUUCAUUUCGGAGGUCCGUACUUAACCUGAAACUGUUCUUAACCUGAAGCACCACUUUAGCUAAUGGGGCCUCCUGCUGCCACUGCGCCGCCGGAGCACGAUUUCUGUUCUCAUCCUGAAGCAAAGUUCUUAACCUGAAGCACUAUUUCUGGGUUAGCGGAGUCUGUAACCGGAAGCGUAUGUAACCUGAAGCGUAUGUAACCCGAGGUACCACUGUACACACAAAAACAUGCACUGCAACAUGAGAUUUUACCAAAAUUUUCUCUCCUCUUUGAUUAUUUUUGAAUACAACUUAUUUUCUCAUAAAUUACUGGGCAGUGGUCAAAACCAAAAAUAAGCACAGCGCUACUUUUGAUGUAAAAACUCAACCCAAACUCUUUUGUUUGUGAAUGGAGUAGAUGUCAAUAAAUAAAAAUUGCUUUCCCUGUUGCAUCUGUUUUGGCUAAAAGGCACAGGUCCGAUUUCCAUUAAGGUUUUGUAAUACAGAGUGUCUAAGGCAAAGGAGAUGAUAUGGUAUUUUAGUUUGGUUUGCUUUCUUGUGUUAACCCUGUCAUCAUAGCAAAAUAUGUGGCAGAGUAUACCAGGAGUAUGUGUGGGAGGUCUGUUGUUCUCAGUAUGUCGGUGAUGAUGUGGCAUGCCCCUUGGGAAGAGAGGCCCCAAACACCCAGUGACUGCCAGAUCAGGGAGUGUUUAAUGUUUCUGUGUGAAGAUUCAUGGUUUUGAAUGUGUGCAGUGUUAAGUGCUGGGUAGUGGGUCCCCCCCCCUCCUGUUUCCCCCACUAAAGUUACCACAGAAGUUAAAAAAAAAUGCUAGGCCUAUCCUUCACUUAGCCUUUCCUUUUUUUAUUUUUUAACAAAAUGAAAAAUACGUAGAGCAGUUGUCAUUUGUUAAAGUGUAGCAGAAAGAGCGAAACAGGCCAGUGGAUGCUUCAUCAAGAACACUCAUUCAGAAUGAUGAAUGUGGCUAAACACACAUUUGUUCGUAAAACUUGCAGAGUGGAUGAGCAUCAUUAAGCAUGAGAAAUAGGUGCAGCAUGCUGGGGAGAGAGUGGAGCAAACAGAUGUUGUGAAUUUUCGCAGGCAUCCUUCAUCCACCAGUCCAUCAUUAAUAUAGUUGAAGGUGAUCCUUUCUUUUAUUUAAUAAGCACAAACAAAGAGCAUGCGCUGUGCUAGGACUGCUGAAUAUACGGUUUUCUAAGGGGGAGAAAGGCACAAAAUGCAGAUAGAUGGGCUACUUUACUCAGGGUGGUGGUAGUAGUGGAUCAUCAGAAUCGCAUCAGAUACUUUGGUGGCUCACAUCCCCACCUUCUUGUGUUUACAGCUUGCCUUUCAGCAGGAAGACUCUUUAAGCAAUCCAUGUAAAGAGUCUUAAAAGUAAAAUACAUUAUUUAAAAAGUAGAAUCAAAACUAUGAACAUAUAAAAGCUGACAACAAAAGUCAUGACUUGAGUAGUUGAAAAACCAAGUCUCAGCCUCCUAAACCUCAGUGGAAUGCCAUGGUUUUCAACCAUCUCUAUAAAGAGGAAACAGAAGCUACCAUUCUGACCUCAUAAAGGGAAAAGUUCCAUAAUUCUUAGGCCACCAUAGAAAAAGCCCUGCUCCUAGUUGAAUAGCAGUUUGAAAGCCCUUCGUUACAGCAGAAGUCUCAGAUCUGGUUACCAUUGAAUGUGCACCGGAUCUACUUGGUCUGUUGAAUAAAUGGGGAAUCUGUGUGGGGAACUAUGGAUUAUUGACUAUUAUUUAAUUUCUCUACAACUUACGGUAAUAUAUUAAAAAUAUCUCUAAGUGGUGUACAAAAAAGAAGCAACAACAGACAACUUAAAUAAUUAUGAUGCAUUAUCUAUUCUCAUAACUGAUGUCGGGUUCUACAUUGACCCUGGAUUCUAAAAUGGUAUUAAAUUGAAUUGUUUUAGAGGUUUUGUUAUAGGGCUCUAAUAUUUACUAUGAUUUAGCACAGAAACCUCAUGCUUCAUGUAGCAGUUUACUAAAUCAAGUUGUAGUUUACACUUGCCAUUACAGCCUUGGAUUCAUAACAUCAGUGUGAGAUGAUAAAAGUAAUAAAAUAAUGAAGUAUAAUAAAUAUAGCCAGUACCUUUGCCACUUUUGUGCAUACAUUAUGUGGUGGAACAAAAUAGAGAUAAAGUAGCCACUCACUGACUUUGAAUUCCCCAGUUUUGAAGCAUUUAAUCAAAGUUUUUAGUCAUCCUGCUAGUACAUCAGAAUAUAUAAAUAAUGGAGUAGCUAUAGCAACUCAGAUAUAAUGACUUCUGAUAUAGGGAUAUAAAGAAAUGUACACAAUGAGGUAACUGGGUAUACUGGGAAAAACAAAGAAGCUUCUUGUCACAAGCUUUUAUAGAGAAUCUGCAAAAAGGACACAUACAUACUGGAAUCAGAUGCAAGCAGUCUUCAGGUUUGUGCUCAUAAGAUCAAUUCAAAACAUUGCUCCAUGAACUCCAAACACCUUGUGUUGAAAUAAACCUAUAGAUUACAUAAAAAAAUAGAGUUAAGUCCUAUGUCCAUUUCUACCAAUCUCAUUACUGUUAGAGGAAAGGCUCCUUUGAGUAAAUCAUUUGCCUUACUUCGCUUUUCUUGAGCCCUGAAGUAAAAUCUUUCCUGAACAAUGUAUUUUGCAUGGGGAAACAAAUCAAUAAUUUUAAGAAUGAUAAUUGUAUCUCCACAGAGUAAGGAGAGGCAGAUGUGGAAGGGAAAAACAAUAACGUGCUACUGCCACUUACUCUUACUUGCUCAUCUUCCUAUUUUGUAAUAUAAAUUAGAACUUCAUUUGUUAAAUUCCCAGUGGCUUUGAACUCUUACUGAAGAGUGGUGUGUUGUUAGGAAAUAUGCCAGCCAUAUUUAAUUUUUCAUACUGAAAAUAAACUAAGUGAUCUUUUUCAGUAUCAUAUUCUGAGAUGAUACAAGUAGGGAAGGAACUUCAGUACAGAAUCCCAAGAGAGUUAGUUCCAUAUGGGUUUGUUACUUGAGAAGCAAUGUGUGUUUGGCAUUUCCAUUUCACAAAGCUCAUUUAUCCCUUUAGAAUUUUAAGCCUGAAAACAUAGCUGGACAUUUAGAAAAGCAACCUCCGAAAGCAUUGGUUUCUCUUUAGGUGGGAUGUGUAUUUAGGAAGGAUGCCACAGUCCUAAAGCUGGAUAACUCAGUUGGUUAGAGCAUGGUGCUGAAAUUACCAAGACUGCAGGUUCGAUCCCCAUAAGGAACAGCUGCAUUGCAGGGGGUUGGACUAGAUGAUUCUUAGGGUCCCUUCCAACUUUAUGAUUCCCAAUCAGCAGUCUUUUCCUUGACCCCUGCCACAAUAUAUGUUGGCAUUGAUUUUCUAAGCAGUUUGUACUCUCUUCAAACUUUCCUAUUUUUUUGAGUUGUUGGCACUCAGCAAUUUAAGGUAUGCCUAGCAUAUGUUAUUUUCUGGAUAAGCUGGGCUUUUAUUGACUAAGUGUCUUCGUCCUGGUGUGUCACUUUGACGAUUGCCAGGGCACCUUCCAGGAAGGUGCUCUGGCAAUCUCCACCAUGUCCUUUUCAUGAAGGUAAGGUGCUCAGAAAACCAUAGUUAACAUUAACCACCACUGGAUGUCCCAGCAAAUUGUGACAAAGUAAAAAUGGAAGUGAAUGCUUCUGAGCACCUCCCUGGAGCUGUAUCUGAGAGGGAGUGGGGAACAGAAACUCUGCUUACUUCUUUAAAAGGUAAAGGUAAAGGACCCCUGACAGUUAAGUCCAGUUGCGAACAACUCUGGGGUUGCAGCGCUCAUCUUGCUUUACUGGCCAAGGUAGCCGACGUUUGUCCACAGACAGUUUUUCCAGGUCAUGUGGCCAGCAUGACUAAGCCGCUUCUGGCGAAACCAGAGCAGCGCACAGAAACACCGUUUACCUUCCCGCCGGAGCGGUACCUAUUUAUCUACUUGCACUUUGACAUGCUUUUGAACUGCUAGGUUGGCAGGAGCUGGGACCGAGCAACAGGAGCUCACCCCGUCACGGGGAUUCAAACCGCCGACCUUCUGAUCGGCAAGCCCUAGGCUCAGUGGUUUAUACCACAGCGCCACCCGCGUCCCUUUACCGCUUAGUCAAACUCAAUUGAUUUCUGGGCCUUCUUCAGCCAGCCCCCACCAACUGACAACAUUCCGAAUGGCUUGUCUCCCACCUCAUUUUUCUGGCUGCUGAAGGUACUUCAGCAGCAGCAAGUGGGUGAAAGGAAGGAACAAAGGAAAGGGAGGCAGCAUCCAUAGCCUGGCAUACUGCCGGCUUGCUCCUUUUAGAAAUAGGGUGCUGACUAGAUGGAUCCUUGAUCUGAUCCAGUAGGGUUGCUCUUACGUUAUUAAUUUGCUUCCGUUGAGAUACAUUAUUUGUCCCUUUUUAACCCGUGGGAACAAUCCUGCUUACUGAAUAGCAUUCUAAGGGGUCAGCCCCAGUCCUUUGGGUGCUUUAAAGGUCACGUCAGGCAACUUGAACUACACACAGUAAUAUAGAGAGAUCCAGAAACCUUGAAUGCACACUCUUGCAAUCAUAUACUAUUCUCUGAAUCACAUGUUUUCAACCAGGUGUCAUACUAUGAAAUACCACCAGCUGUGGAACACCAUUCAAAGUCACAAAUGUCCCACAUAUUAAACACCUUAGAAAUUAUAUGUACCUGGCAAAGAUCGGGACAGACUCUAUACAUAUGUUGCAGGGAUUUUCUUCUUCUUCAGCAUCCGCUCAGGGUACUUGGAGGACAGGCAAAAACUAUUAUGUUAAAUUGUGCUACCUAUACCAUCAGCUUUUGUCUUUGCUAAAGCUGCCAGUUUUUAUAAACAACUGAAGACAGAAAGGGUUUACUAAGAAUAAUGUUGAAGCCCAAAAGAAUCCUACAGCCUAUAAAUCUUAAUAGAGGUUCUAAGAUUCCAGUGGGCUGCAUAUGUCUCUUUUACCCAGCCUCACUCCAUCUUGGCUCCCCUGUGAUGACUACAAUUUUCUUGAAACAAGAAGCACAGUGACUUGAAUUUACUCCUGGCGCUAUUUGCCUACAAACAGGAAUACAUGCAUAUAACCUAUGCAAAUCAAUAAAAACAUGUCAAGACCCCUUAGAUCGCAGUACUCUCCUAAAAUGCAAUUUAUCAUGCUGCAAAUGAGAGCAAGAGACUAGGUAACAAAUAGUGUCUGAUCGUUUAACUAGCACCUGUUGUCAUGCAUUUGAAAACUGCAUUUUUUAUUUGACGUACAGUAAAUUGCAUUUUCAUAUAUAUGGAAUGGAAGUGGGACCUGGGGAUGUACACAUGCAGGCAUUUAUGAACAUUAUGAAGAAUAGAAGUUAUAUAGCACUACCCCUUUUUAAGUACUGGAAUUAAAACAAAAUAUAUUUCUCUGUGCAUUUGUUGGACACAAAAGGUAAGUUCAGGGAGUGUGUUUUAGAGGUCAUCUGUUUAUGGCCCAUAUAGCUGCCAUAUGUUUUGUUUUGCAAAACACUCCCAACAUGUUAACCCAACAGUAUUUACUACAAAUUGAAACAAGCUGUUUUGCACUUAACUCCGGGGGGGGGGGGUGUGGAGGGCAGUGGGGGACAGAUGACAACUUGGUAAGCUUGUCUUCCUAACAAACAAGUUGUGGAUAAAUGAGAUUUGUUCAGAUUAAUUUCAAGGUCUCACCUUACAACCUGUAAUGUUUUACUGUGUUGAAUAAUGUCUAGCAAGGAUCCUUCCAUUGGUGGAAACACGACAAUUGCAGUGUAACACAUGUGGAGAUUCUCUACCUCCCUCCCUCCUUCCCUCCCCCCUCUCUCUCUCUGGUUCCCCAGUCAUUAGUGGCUGCUCUGGCUGUUGUCAUGAAGGCAAACCCUUCAGACAUAUAUUAUUCCCUUCCCUGUCUAUACUGACUUGCGUGUUCCAAAGAACAACAAUAUUGGUUACCUCUGUAAAUUUAAGCAAGGUACCAGUACUUGCUGGCAUUGACGUACUUUUUUUUUUUUUUUUACACCACUGUCAAGGGACUCCAUGUCCAAAGGAUAACUGCAAGACAUAGGAGGCAUGGGUUGGGCUUACAACCACAGCAAUAAUCAGUGGAAAUUUUUUAUACACUUAUCAUAUUACUCAGUAGCAUGUAUCUGAAUUCACAAAGUUUCGUUCCAGAGUUUAGCAAAGACAUCUAUGUGCACAGCUCUUUCUUUUUCUAAAUACCCUCCUUCUGCAAAGGUAGGGGUUACCUGUUCCCAUAUGCACCUGUUACCAAUGUAUAUUGUUAUUAUUUUUAAUUUUGGUCUUUGGUAUUAACGAUGAGUCACAGCAGAGUUCUAACUGCUAUAAGAGAAAUGAAGAAAACAUAUGGCAGUGAGUCUAGGUGCCACAAGGGAAACUUUUGAUGCUUAGUACUUUCAGAUAAAACUGUAAAUAUCAGUGAUGGGAGAAUUCUAUAUUUGACAAAACACGAAGUCCCAGAAAAAGACCUCAACUCUAUUUUCAUUACCUGAGCUCUAAUGCAAGAAGCACUAAGUGUAGUGGAAUGGAUUUGCUGACCACGACUGUUGCUAUUAGUAGAGUACAAAGGUAAAGUGUAAGUAAAAUUUAUUUUAGGCUUGAGUGUCAACACAGACAUGAGGUAGGAGGGAAAGUACUUUAAAAUGUGCAUUAAUAGCAAUAAAUUGAUAGCAGCUUGAAGGUAAACAGGUUUUCAGAAUGUGUUCAAGCUUUGUUUUUACUAGUAAUGAAAUGUAAAUUGGGAUAUGGUGCAGAAAAGUAUGCCAAGUAGUGGGUUUUAUUUCAGCUCAUUAGUAUGAUGAGCAUGUUUUGUUUACAUGAAUAAAACUCUUGUGAAUGUUAAUCCAAAUGGGUACUUAAUCAGUUUAAUAUGUCCAUAAUUAUUCUUUGGCAAGAAAAACGCUACUUUUACCCUAUAAAACAUGUCCUUUUGUUUAGAUAUUAAUGUUUUAAACUCAUCAGAUAAUUUCUUAUAUUGGUAUUUUGAGUUCACUGUAAAAAUUAUUGCAUGGAUAAUAAAAUCUCAGUCAGCUGUCUUGUUGGCUAACUACUUUUAUGUGAAUUGAAGAUAAUAUGGUUUGCUUUGGAGCCACUUCUCUCCUAGGUUGUACAACAAAAUAUCAAAUUCUUGUGAUUUGCAUUGGUUUUCAAAAGGGUUGAAUUGCUUAUGAUAAUUUCCAAGAGGUGCCUAGGAAAGUUUUUAGAAAAUGGGAAUACAUAUCUAUUAUAUAAUAUAGCAUUGUUAAAUUUAAAUAUCCCCCCCCCCCGGCCAUCAUUUCCAUUUCCAUUUGGAAAACUCUACCACCUUCCCGCUUCUCAUUUGUGUAAUUGUUCUGGGUGCCAUGCUUUCUUCUGUUAGGUCUAUUUCAUUGUUUUGUGUGCUGUACUCCACUUUUGUGCCUCUUUCCUUUGUGGAAUCCAUGGCAUCUGUUUUUCCUAUUUGGGACCUACUAAUGACUGACAGUUUGUCCAAGUUGUCUUGGUCCUGAGCUCGGAAUCUUUUGCUUAGUUGUGUUUUCAGCUAAGCAGUAUCACAGUGUACUACCAGUUGUUCAGUUAGGCUAUAAUCAGUGUUGGAAUUCCAUUACUGAGUUUUUAAAAUUAUUUUGAAAUUCUUUUGGAAAUUCUUUUGGAAAUGUAUUUUCCAAGACUGGUGCCCAUUCCCUAGUUGUGUCAGUGUGUGUUGGUAACCUGAGUGGCUAACAAGCAUCAGAAAAGUGUGCACAAAAUUUGAACAGAUAGUUAGCUAGCCCAGUCAUCUCCUUAAUGACUCACAAUUUCUCCAGUUCUGGUCAUAGUCCUAGUGAGAUCAAUAGACAAUAGAUGUCCAAUAUAUAGUACUUUGUCAGCAUUGAGUUUAAUGUUCUUCUCCCAACAUCUGUGGGGCAGUUGUUGCAGUUAGCUAUCAUGAGACCGUAUUAUCUCUUCCUUAUCAUCUCUUUUUCUUAUGACAAGAAUAUGCUCAACCACAAUCUUGAUGCCCCAGAGUCCUUCCAAUACCUGCUUCAGCUUCUAUGGGAAAACUGAAAAUCAGCUGGGCUGAUUCCCAUGGGCAUUCAUAGCCAGUGGUUCUUGUUAAAGGAUGUGGUUAUCAGUGCCAAAAUCUGUUCUUGACAUUGCAGACAGUAAACACUUUUGCUCUAGACUGGUCAGGUAGUAGUAGCACAUCCUCACUUGUUGGCAGUGGGUAGCGACUUUGUUUUUAGUCACCUAUUGAGCAGUUUUGAAUCAGUGCAAAUUCUCAGUUUUCUUUAUGGCUUCGGUGUCACUACUAGGCUCCUGAUCCAGUCAGUGCUUCUUUCCACGAUGCCUUUCUUCUGCAGUUUUGCUGAUUCUUGGCUCCAGAAGGGCUAGCAGGAUUCUUCAUUUUGGAAGUCAUUCUGGUUGCACCUUUAGAAAUAAUGAGACCAGUGCAAUUUUGCCAUUCUGAUAUUUCUGCUCAAUAGAUUAAAAGGAAGGACGUUACAAGUAGCUCCACAAUCUAUUUGGGAUUUCAUAGGUCCUUAUUCUAGCAUCAUUGCAGCCAACAUGGCUCACUUGUUCCCCAGUUUUUUUCUUUCCUGUGAGUCUGCAAAUUAGCCAGAUUUACACAUAAGAUUCAUCUGUAGGUUCAUUGCUCAUCACUACAUCGUCACUUCAUUGACUGGAUUCCCCACCCCUUUUAGCUGGGUGACUGCAACACUGAUCCCUGAAAUUGUUCUGCUUUCCACAUCAUUUACCUUCUUUCCCAUAGGCUCUUUCACAGAGUGGUUUAACAGUAAGUCCCUCUGCAUGGGGAAUUUUGGGAAUUAUAUCGCUGGAAGCGGAAAGGGAAGAGUUGGGGUUUUUUUGCAAGUACUGCUGGGAAGGAGGAGCAGAGGGCAGGACUGCAUGCACACUUGCUGGGAAAAGUUGCACCAAGAGACCAGGGAGCAUGGCUGCUCUGGACUCAAGCUCGCUGAAGCUGUGAGGUUAUCAACAAGAGACACUCUUUGGGUGUGAUAUUCUGCACCCUCCCUGAUGAAGGCUUUAGAUUCUAAAUAUGCGUAAAUAAACCAUAGUUCAUAAAGACACCAGCCUCCAUUGUGCCUCAUUUUCCCCAAGGAAACACAACCCCUGGUUAUGUGCCAAGACCCAUGGAAUUCCUUGCUACCGCUCGGCAGAGAUUGGGGUGGCCUGUAACAAUAUAGUUACAUACAUGGGGAUCAGCACAGUCUCCUUAUAAGAUCAGGUGUUCUGAUCUAGCCGCUUGCCAAGCUCUCUGCCCUGAAAACACCCUUAAUAUAUUUUUAGACUAUCCAUAUUGAAAAUGGAAACCUUGCACGAUCACUGUCUAGCCCAGGGGUCUGCAACCUUUAAGACAAAAAUAGCCACUUGGACCCGUUUCCAAAGGAAAAAAAACUGGGAGCCGCAAAACUCGUCAUUAUAAAAAUAACUUUUUUGUCACUUUUUUUAAUUAUUUCUUUGUUUGACCCCUCAGAAUUACUCCUCCUCAUAGAAAUAAACGUUAAAUUAACAAGUUACCUUUUUUUGUGUAUGUGUUCUUCACUCCCCUUCAAAACAGUGACCAGCGUACAUGUCCCUUACAAUGUAGCGGGCGGGUGGGAAGGUGACGUCGGGACGGUGCGUGACUAACGCACGCACCGCCCCCAUGCGACGUCACAGCCAGUACAGUGCCCGCCACAGUGGGGAGUGUCGGGGCGCACAAUGCGCCUCCUCCCCUCGCUAGUAUCCGCCCCGGAGCUGCGGCAAAGGUGUAAAAGAGCCACAUGCGGCUCCGGAGCCGCGGGUUGCAGACCCCUGGUCUAGCCAAAUGUCAGGCAAGAGGUCUUCUCUUCAUUGUUAUAUGCCUUAUGUAUUGUGUUUAUAUUCUUCCUGUAGUUGCUUUGUUAUAGAAUAAUUAACAAAUGCAGCAUUCAUUUGUAAUGCCAUGAAAAUGCUGUGAAUUAGCAAGCUUUGCUUCUUUUUCUUUUUCCUUAAAGUGUUGAAGGCCCCAAACUGUUCUUACUACUUGUUCUGAAGAUAAAUUAGUGUCUUCUAAAUAAUGCAGUGAACCCUAAUUCUCUUUGAUUAGUAUCGAGUUAGAUGAUAGCGACCCAUUGAAAUUGGUCAUCAGCAUAAAUAAUGAGUGAAUGAACUGAUAAAAUGCAAAGUCGCCAGCCAUCAUAAAUCAAAUGAAAUCCACUUUCUCUGGAAGUCACUGAAAUUAGAAGUCCAUGCUCCUAUUAAUUAUUUUGCCUUCUGAAGACGACAGUGUUAUAAAUCAGCCUUGAAAGGCACUUCACUUGCGAAGCUGAAGGAGUAAGCUUGCCUGCAAAUUGUUUUGUAUACUCACCUAAUUGUUUCUUAAGUAAUCCACCUUUUUAUAACAUGGCUGCUGAACAGCUAAAAGUACCAAAUUGGGCAGAUUAACAAAAGCAGUGCAUGACCUACAUUUCUAUGUGCUUUUAGGAUAACGGGAUACCCCAUCUCUUCCAAUAGGUGCACUGCAACUAUUUCCUAUAGCUUUGUUGGAUUGAGGUACUGGUAGCUGGUGUUCAAUUUAUACUUCUGGAUGUUUCCAUCUUUGAUUGAACAUCACAGUAGCCUUUGGGGCUCCUCAAAGAGGAGGAUAUAUGCAAGAGACAGGGAGAGAGAAAGGGUGCGUUGCUAGUCCCCCUACCAUUUUUGACACUUAGAAAUUUAACUAUUUGCAGCUGUCCAAACAAUUAUCAAUUUCUCCUUUGGUUUAGUUAUUAAAUGCUUUUAAAUAUAUAUGAGUGUUUAAAGAAACAACAGAAAAAGGGAUUACAAGUUGAGAAUUUUAAUUUAACUCAUUUCAAAAUCCAAUUAGUAUUUAUCCAAACAACACUUUCAAGCAUCUCAUAUCAGUUCUGGGUGAAGUUUGGAUCAAAGUGUUUCUGAAAAAUUGAUGGAAUAACUUUGUGUGGCUAGAGUGGAAAAACAAUAACAACUAGAGGCUUCCAUGGCAGACUGGCAGCCAUUUAGCCAGUGCCCAAACAAAGAUUCUACAGGACAAACUGUACCUGCUGCAUUCCGUAAUAUAUGGUUGUUGUAAUGUUUUCCUUCUUAUUGAUAUUAGCAACUUUCAGUCUCUCUCCAAUGUUUGUAUGAAUGUUACAUCACUGUUACUGUUUGGGUUGGGGAAAGGGGGAUGUGGGGAUGUUCAGUUUGUAUUGGUGACAUAAAAAUCUGAGAAAGCUAUUAAGUUUAUAUACAUUUUCUGUAGUGCUUCUGUGCUUCAUACAACCCACAAGGCAUUUUUUGUUUCCUUCCUCUUUUUAUUCAGCCCCACAGACAUUAGAAUCCCAAGAAUGUUAGCUUACUUUUUCAAAGUUUCUAUUCCCCCAGGCUGCACAUGUAUGCUUGGACACAUUAAGGGAGAAAAGUUUAUAAAAGUCUGAAAGUGGGAGAUGUAUAAAAAGAACUUCCAACUUUUUUGUUUGUUUCUCUCAUGAGUAUUUCUUACCAAAGGAAACGAAGACUGAGUGAAAAGGUUCUUUUGUUACUUUGUAGUGCACAGAACGUCUGUGUGCAUAAACUCUGUAACUCAUUUUUUUCGGUGUUUUCCUAAACUUACUGGAAUGAGGCUGUUUUGAUGGGAAGGUAUAUUUUCAUACUAGUUCACAGCUGGCAUAUCAUCAAUUCCAAAUAACAAUGGCCACUCAUCAGAUGAGUCAUUUUGUCUUAUAUGCCUCCCCAUUUAAUGGAUAAAGAGGUCAGAGCCAUUUUGGGUAAAGACAGCUAGACAAUCUCUGCAGCUGUACCCAGGCCCAAGACUGUUAUAGAUUUAUAAAUAUAGCCUCAGCUAUUGGUAGUUGAAGGUAAUCACUCCUGCAAAGUUGCAUUGUUUUAUGUAUAUCUAUAUGUAAAUAAAAGGGUUUUGAGCCAGCUGGACUCUUGAGCCCUUCAAAGUCUAAAUCCUCUUCUUGCACUAAUUGAAAAGGCGGCAGCAAAUAAUCAGCUUCUGUUUCCUGUCAGGCCAAUUUGAAACAGAGUUUUGUAAAAACAUUCAGACAAAGAAAAAAUCCAAACGGGUGAAGCAGAGAGGAUUCCAAAUUGCAGCAGGUACAGUAAAAACAAACAAACCCCAUCUAAUGUUUGGUUUAUUCUUUGUGGGUUUAUGGUUAUCCAUGCAAUUUGGUACUUAGCAAAAGGAGUGAUUGAUUUUAGUGUUUCCAAAGCCCACUUCUCACAGCACAGUAUGUGUUCACUGUAGUAUUGAUUGUGUAAUAAAUGAGAGGAAAGGGUUUUUAAAAGAUGGCGUCCUGCCAACUUGAGGGGGGGGGGAGAAAACAGAAAGAUUUGAGUUGAACUCUAGAAAUGGAAGACAUGCUAAAGUUAUGUGUUUGGUUUUUUUGGAUUUAUUUCAGUGGGGUGGGGUGUCAGACAUUAGCUGUAACAGAAAGAACAUGUGGUUGAGUAGUAAACAAGCAAAAGUUGAAAUCAAUACAACACAACAUGGCUGGGUUCGCACGCAUGGUAAGGCAACCUAUGGUUUACCCAGGACCAUGUGGACAUACGACUUCCCAAAAAGGAGCUCACAGUUGCUUUGCUUCUCCUUUUUAUGCCUAUGCCACACAGAGCCAAGCCAACAUUUGGCUUAGUGUGUCAUCCAAACCCUUACUCAUGAUUCAGUUCUUUCCCCACUAACCAUGAGCUGUAGUCAAAGUUGUUAUUGUUCUAUGUCAGUUUUCUGUUGAACCCUGACUGUUGAAUUCACCUUCGUAUGUGUGUUGGUAGCUUAACUGAUUUAUUUACAAGGUUAUAUACAGCUACAUCAUAGCGCUACUAACACUGGCCUGCACAGAAUUUCUCCUAGUAUAGUGGUACCUCGGGUUAAGAACUUAAUUCGUUAUGGAGGUCUGUUCUUAACCUGAAACUGUUCUUAACCUGGAGCACCACUUUAGCUAAUGGGGCCUUGCGCUGCCGCCAUGCGAUUUCUGUUCUCAUCCUGAAGCAAAGUUCUUAAAGACUCUCCUCCUGCAAGAGAGGGGAGUGGUUGUGGUCGGAAGCCGGACUCCGCCUCAAGCAGGGGGCGUUAGCCCCCUGCCUCCCACUCACCUGGCUGGCCUACGCCCAUGGGCAGGCACCCAACCAGGUGCCUGCGAGGGGGCGUGUUUAGCAGCCCAAAUUGCUGCGGCACCAGCCUUCCAGCCUCACUUUUCGUCGUCCCGUCGCACCCCUCCACCUUUGGGCUCGGGUGGCGGUUAGGCAUUGGAAUAAUGUGUUGUGGUGUGUCGAAGGGCUAGGUGUGGCCAUAGCCUAUGCCUUCAAUUUUUGGGUAUUCCAUUAAAGGAAUCUGGCGGUCGUGUAUUCUGUCCGAUGCCUGCUUGGCGGGAGGCCAUGGCACGACCCUCGGUGACAUCAGGGGAGAGCUUAUAGUUGGAUUAGCAUCAACAGGCUCCACCUACUGGUGAAUAAACCCCUCUAUUAGACUCACCCCUCUCCGAGGGGUGGAGUCAGCUGACGUAAUCCAAUGCCUAAGCCAAUACCUUUUCACUUGCUGUAAUCAAUAAAGUUGUGGCCUUUUCUUGCCCAUUAACCUUAUAUCACGUGUCCUCGUGUUUUCAUUCCACUACGCGGGGAUCGGGUCCUCGAACCACAACCUGAGGUAAUAUUUCUGGGUUAGUUGAGUCUGUAACCUGAAGCGUAUGUAACCUGAAGUGUAUGUAACCCGAAGUACCACUGUAUAAGAGAUGAGAGGAAAGAAGUAUUCUGCAGGCUAGAGUGUACUUAAGGGGACAGUACAUGCUACACAAUCAGUGAUUGGGGUGGGGGGGAAACUUGAUAGACGAUAAAACAGAUUUAUUACAGUAUGUGUGUUAAGAAACAUAGCAGCAUGAAUGAUCAGAACAGAAGCAAGGGGUUUUUGGAUCUGGAGGGUGAUUUGUAUAUUCUAUCCCCAACCAAGUUUAUUUGUAUGGGAGAAGAAAUUAAUAGGUAUUCCCUUGCUCCUCCCCCCUUCAUAUAUAUGUGUUUGUGUGUGCGCAUGCAAGCACACAAGCACCAAAUGAUCUUCAGCAAAAUAAAAUGGAAGAUCAAGGGAGGAAUAUUGCAGAAGCUGAUAAAGAAAACAAGGGGUUAAAUUUUUAAUACAUUUUUGUUCUCAUCUUUCUUUUUUUUAAAGCCCUUGCAUGUAAAUAUAUAUAUUAUGUAUGCUGAGUAUAAAGAUAGCUCUGUCCUACCAUAUUGAUUUAUUAGAUUCUCUGACAUUUUAGUUGUGGUCGUUAUGUUAUAUUUAUGAGAUGAAUGUUGGAUUCCCUCAUUAUGUUAUCCUCAUUUAUUUUACAUACUUUUAUGGCUGGUUGUGCUCAGCUUUACAUUUAAAGCUUUAUUGCGGCUGUUAGUGUGGAGGGGAGGGGGGGAAGCAAGUGCUUACGGAUGGGGAAUUUACAUGUUUACUGUCGUAAUCAUGAUUUAUUUAAUCUUUACAUAUAAAUAUAAGGAGUCCCCCCCCCGAAAUAAAAUAUUAGUUGAUUUCUAGGUCUGAUCUUUCCCCCAGUGGGGGAUUUUCUGUUGUGGGUGAGGUUUUGUGAAAAGGAGUGUGUGUGUGUCUGAGAGGAGUGGGGGGUUAUGGCAGGAAAAGCAUGUUAAGGUCCAAAAACAAGCACUCUUUCCCAACAAGGUGUGCCUUUCUGACAAUCAACCUUUCAGUCAUUGUACUAUACAGUUUUCGUUGGAGGCUACACUGAAUUGAGUUGAAGUAGCUUAGUGGUAAAGCACAUUUGCAUGCAGGAGGUCCCAAGCUGAGGACUGGCAAAGAUUCCUGUCUACAGUGCGGGAGAGCUAUUUCCAGUCAGUGUCCAUAAUACUGAGCUAGAUGGGUCAAUGUUCUGACUUGGAAUGAAACACCUUCCUAUGUUCCCAUUGGUGCAAAUCAGGGAGGUCAGCCAGAUAAUGGCCAAAGGUAUAUAUCUAAUAUUUAUGGUGUUCUCAAAUAGGCAAUCCCCAUGCAGCUGCACUGUGUUGGAGAGGUUUUCUGGGCAUGUUCUAGUUUGGACGCACAGUGAAGCUUCACCAUGAAGCUUCACCAUUGCCACAGAUGAACUUAAAACGUGUGCUAGGACACCUCUAGCAUCUCCCUACAUCUCUGCAUCACAAGGCAAGAGGGAUAGUGGGGUUAAGGUGUCCUUUGAUCUCUGCACUGAGGCACUCCCAUGUUCCUUGAUACACUGCCCACAUGUGAUAGUUAUGCGUAUUUUCAUUGUUUUCCGAAACAUGCAGAGAAUAAACCUGCUAAUUUCAUUACACUAAUGUUCCAAGGCAUGGUAUUAAGUCAAUUUUCAUAAAGGUUCGCACGCCAAGGCUGCUAUAGCUUUUUAUACUUUGUUCACCCUGAAAACGAGUGUCAGCUAAUUUGAACUAGGAGUACUGGGGUUGGAAUAUAGGGGAUCAAUAGCAGAACAGCAGCAUUGAUUUCUUUUCUUGGGGAUCCUCUGUGACCUGCGUCACUUGUGCUGUGCAGCUGCCUUAUAGACAAGGUACAGAAAUAUAUUAGUUCACCUUACCUUUUUUUCAUCCUCUCCCGCUGACUUACUCAAGCUCAAAUAGUAAGCCUUUUGGGGAACUGAAAGUUGAGAAUCUUGUAAUUUAUUACCUACUCACCACUCCUCCUGCUUCUCCCUGUGUAUUUCUGACUGGUGUUAUUGCUACCAAUUAUAUAUAUAUAUUUAUAAUCCAGGACCUCAAAUGAUUUCAUUAAAGGAAUAUGAAUUUCUGCAAUCAAUUAACUGUUUUCUCCAAUGCAAUAUUAGUUACAAAUUAGGAGACAGACCUUAGAUUACCAGCAACUAAUGAGUAAUAAUAUUGUUGUUGUUUAGUCGUUUAGUCGUGUCUGACUCUUCAUAACCCCAUGGACUAAAGCAUGCCAGGCUCUCCUGUCUUCCACUGCCUCCCGCAGUUUGGUCAAAGUCAUGCUGGUAGCUUCGAGAACACUGUCCAACCAUCUCAUCCUCUGUCUUCCCCUUCUCCUAGUGCCCUCAGUCUUUUCUAACAUCAGGGUCUUUUCCAGCGAGUCUUCUCUUCCCAUGAGGUGGCCAAAGUAUUGGAGCCUCAGCUUCACGAUCUGUCCUUCCAGUGAGCACUCAGGGCUGAUUUCCUUAAGAAUGGAUAGGUUUGAUCUUCUUGCAGUCCAUGGGACUCUCAAGAGUCUCCUCCAGCACCAUAAUAAUAUUAUUAUUCAUCCUCUCCCACUAACUCACUGAAGCUCAAAUAGUAAGCCUUUUGGGAAAUUGAAAGUUGAGAAUUAAUAAUAUCAAUACAAGUAUAUGCUGCAGACAAGCCACUAACUGUAUCCAAGGUUUGUUUUUGGUUUUACAGCUCUUCAGCUUGUCCUGGAGGAGACAAACCACAAGUCUGGGUUCAGAUGACUUGCUAAGCCAAAUCGUGGCUUUAUCUCACAGCAAAACAACAGCAGCAGGAGAACCAGGGGGAGAAAGCAGUAGCUGCAAGCUCUGGUUUCGCUUAGCACUACAUGUGAACCACCAUUAUAUACUGUGUAGUAUAUAAUCCACUAUUCAGUAACAGCAAUGUACGAUAUCUUCACAUUAGAUCUGGAAAUGUUUUACAACUACAUGGAUUUCAGUGGUCAGGAUCCAGAAUCUCAACGCCUUUUCUCCAUCAUUGCUCUUCGUUGUAUCUAUGCUCCCACUGUCUCCAGUUUCUGUGCUCUUUGCUUCAGUUCUCACAAAAUAUUUUUUUUAAAAAAGAAUUAUAGGCUUCUAAUGCUGAUCUUAGAAGUCAGAAAUGUCAUCGCCAAAAGAGAUUCAGUUAGCAUUAUGAUGGUUUAUGUGCUGAGAGGGAGAAUUACAUGGCUGGUGAGGAGAUGGGAAUGGGAACGUAAACUGAAUGGAUAAUAGAUCGAGAGCAAAAGGGAAGUAAGUCAAUACUAGUACGUCUAUGUAAAUGACCUGGGUUGGACUAGAUGACCCUUCUGGCCUUUUCCAACUCAAUAAUUCUAUUACUCUACCAGUUGCUGGGGAGUAAACGCCAAAGAAAGGCUUCUGGGGAAACCAUCAAGCUGGCAGUGGUUGGAUUAAGGAUGGAAAUGUUGGUCUUAUUCAGCAAAGUACUCAUAGAGACAUAAAACCAUAGAGUUGGAAGGGACCUUGUUCUCAACAUUGCAUUUAUACUGAGCUCUGGAUGGUACCAAUGGAAAUAAUGCAAGUCAAAAGUACAAAUUAUUGAAACAGGCACCAAUUUUCACUAUGCAGUCAGGUUUCACAACACUGGUUGCUUUUAAUUUUUCACUUGCCCUAACUCUCAAGCUUUUUAUUAGUAACAAAAAUCCUGAAAAUAUAAAAUAAAUUCAAGGCUUAUAGAAAGCCAGUGCUUUACUAAUGUCAUACUAAUUAACAAUCAGUGAAUGCCUGCCCAAUUUUAAAUUAUUAUUAUUUUUAAUGGCUGGAACAGGAAGUUGGCAGGGGCUUGUGAGCCUAAACGGGUUAUGUGACAUAUUGGAUUUGGACCUGGGAGACAUCGCACAGUGUUGUUAUUGCUGUGACUGUUCGUGUGAGCCAUGUGCUGUGCUUUGAAUUUAACUAUUAAGCAGUGGUUAAAAUUAAUCCUGUGUGCAGUUACCAAGGGAGAAAGCAGGCCAGAGAUGUCAAUAAAUCUAGUGUGGUUUGAAGCAAAUGCCACUAAAUCUUAGUUCUUUGACUGCUCUCUGGUAGUGUCAAGAGCUGCUCAGCAAGACGAAUUUGAGGGAGGGGUGAAAAAGGUACGAUAUUAAACCACAGCGCUGAUAAGUUUAGUUAAGAGGCAGGAGACGUGUCCUUGCAGUGACAUUCAGUGGCUGAUAUUUGUUUCCCUUUAAAUAAUAUGCUGUACAUCUGUGAGAAUGAUGGCUUGGUGUUUGUGACAUUGCAUCUCCACCAAGGUUACUGGCUCCAGGACAAGCAGUCUCUCCUCUCUCCCUUUCUCUCACACCCUGUCAAUAAAUAUCCACUUGUCUGAGAAAGUGAGAUACAGAUUUUACAGCUGACACCAGAGCAUCUUCAUUUCCAGAAGCAAUGAGUUUCAACACGUGAACGUGAAAGAGUGAGUGUGCGUGUAUGUGUGUGUGUGUGUUUUGGGGGCGGGAGGAAUAAAAGGGAUAUAUCUUUCAAGUCUGUCUUGUCAAAGAAAACCGUUAUCCCUUUCAGACAACAAAGCUCAAAGUCUGGCAACUAUGCAACCAGGCUACCUUCCCCCCCAAAAAUGAACACUCCCACCUCACUACCAUUUAAUAAAUGCUUAUUGUUAAACCCUAGUUUCUAUAGACCACUGUGUUUAAAUUUUAUCUCCUUUAGAAUGAAGCAUUCUUCACAGCUGGCUUUUUUUAAUGCCAAAAACGAAGGCUGCCCAACUCAUCAUGUCCAAAAUAAAAGGCUAUUUGAUUGUGUUCUCAGGUUCUGGGUAUUCUGAAUCAGAGUUCGGUUCACCCACAAACUUCAUGAGAGCACUGUUCCAAUCCAUGGUAGUGUAGUAAUGGCAAAGGGUGGAAGGUCUACCAUUGUAACAGGAAAGAUGCAUCAUUUUAGAGUCAUAGCUCUAAAAGCAUCACAAUGGGAAAUCUCUAAUGAGGCACUUUUUUGUGCUGCUUUUUGUUUUCCCACUAGUGCACAAUGCACAGAUAAUGCUUUUACCCUCAAGUGUCCCAAUAUUAAUUCACCCUCAAACAGUUAUGCACAAACUUCCAGUUGCUGCGAAGAAUAUCGUACUUAUACACGUUUCUUAUUUAUGUUCUUAUUUUAAAAAUUAAUGUGGAUAUCUAACCCCCCCUUUCCAAAUCCUUGCAUUGUUCUUUGGGAUCCUAGUGGCACAUUACUGCAUUUGAUUAAGUACACUCACUCCCACAGGUGAACUUCUGUGUACUUGACACUGCUGUGGUGAGAUGUUCAUAGGGCCUCUGUAGAAAUUGCUGGCUGUCAAUUCAUGUAUUUGAAGACCCACCAAGAAAUGUGGUAGCAACAGAGGUUGGCUAUGGCCUUGAAUCAGAUGGUGCUUUUUUUAAAAAGCACUCUUCAGUGUAAUGACUGAGAAUAAUAAAAAUAAAAGCUUUUAGGAGUGGAUUGAAUGGCAGCCCAUCCUCUGGCCCCAUGGUGGGCCAGAUGGUGGGCCAGAAGUGGGGAGCAGCUGCAUGUAAAAAACAGGGAUGAAUUCUCAUAUGGAAGAUAAAGCCUCCACUGGCUGUGUGUCCACAGCAAGUUCCAGAUGGGGAACAGCAAGUGAGAAUGACAGAGAAGGAUAAAUAGAAUACUUGUGGGUGCAGGUAGAGGUAAGGAAAAUGGAGAGGUGAGAGAAGGGGGCAGGGCAGGAAGUAACGGCAGUAUAGAGACAGAACAGAAUGGAGAGAGAAAAGAAGACCAUAGCUGCCAAACCUUUCCCAAGAGAGAAGGGGAACAGAUUAGCAGAAGAAUAGGUGAAGGUCUGUGGCAAGCCAGUGGUGAGCCAAGAAGGUGGAGACAGAAGAGUGAGGUAGGCGGGGUCCCCACUGUACGGAAAACUCAGGAAUUACCAGGAGGUAAUGAACCUUUUGUAAUAAGCGAAAUACAGAUAGUGUCUUGGAUCAACCGAGUCAGGGGCUCACCAGGUGAGGAGCUUGCCAGACAUCUGGGGGUCUGAAGAUUCUUGGAACUUAAAAGAGAAAGGAUGGUAGCACUCACAAUAGCUUUAAAAGAUGAAAAUACAUAUAUUAUACAAUCAAAAUACCACAAUAAAAUGCAUAACCGGAACAGAGCAUAAAAUCUAACAGGAACCACAAUCCAUUCAUUUAGUUGAAUUAAAAGCUAAAACCAUCUUUAAAAGCUAAAACAGGUCAGCUGCAAUAAAACACAGCAGCAGAAAUUAGUAAGAGUCUUAUAUGAUGUUAAAUCAGAAUGGGAGGGUGUGAAAAAGGUUCAAGAGAACAAAACAGCCUGGUGCUGAAAAGACAGUAAGGUUGGUGCCUGGCAAGUGUCUCUAGGCUGGGCUUUGGUCCCCAAAUGCUGUUGGACUACAACCUCCAUCAUCCCUAGCUAGCAGGACCAGUGGUCAGGGAUGAUGGGAGUUGUAGUCCAACAACAUUUGGGGACCCAAGGUUGAGAUAUGCUGCCCAGUGGUGAAGUUGUGGAAGUGCUCAAUCAACAUCAGGAAUAGAUGUUAGGGCUAGCAAACUGAAGCCCAGUCCAGACAAGGUGGAAAUGGUGAAUGGUUCAUUCUCCUUUGGUGGUUUUCAACUCAUUCUGGAUGAGUUUUCACUCCCCUCUUUAAAAGAUUGUUUGAGGGUAUGCUUUUAGCUAGGCCUUGUCUUCAGAUGCUCAAGGGACAUCUGUGGUGCAAAGUGCCUUCCUCCAGUUGUGGCCUCUUCUCAGGAGGAGGCCUUGCAGUCAGUUACACAAAUUUUUAUUGUGUGCUAAGCAAGAAAUAGCAGCAGUAUUGAUGAUAUGGGCUAUUCCUAUUAAAACUGGAUUCAUAUGGUAUGAGCUAAGAUUUAACAAAACUGACAAAUGGUCAAAGUCAGAAAUGGAAGCGAGUUAUUUUGUACCUCUGAAACCAAGUGGAAAUUAUUUAUUUAUAUUGUUAUUUAGGCAGCUAAGAAACAGUGCUUCAUCGCUAGGCAUCUCCUUAAGUUCAGUUUUGUUUUGUAAGCAAUUUAUUAUUUUUGAAGUAAGUAUAAUAGAGUUGCUUUUUGUUUAUUUUUAAUUAGCAGCUAUAACUGAAUUGUGAUUAAUGUAAUUGUAGUUAUUGUAAAAUCUGCUCUUUAAAUUAAAAGGGGGUGGCAAGUGUGGUUGUCGAUGGCACUAGUUGCCAUUGGUGAACUGCAGCCUUCACUGAACGAGGUUGGCUGCCUUAUUUGCUCUUGUUUUAGAGUACUUGACCAUAGGUCCACCAUCCAUUUGAUAACUGAGAGUAAUCCUGUGUGUUCAGGUUAUCAAGUGAUCAUUAUAAUUACCAUCUGAAUAAUGCAGAAUGUGAACUCACCUGCAAAUGCAAAAUGGAACUGCAUUGCAUUGGGUUGUAUUUGCUAGCCGAAAAGGAGUUGUGUAGUAAACAGAUGUUUUCACCAUGUUGCUUGUGAAUUUUCACCCACUCUUCCUCCAACCUGACUUGGUCUCCCUGCCCCAGUGUUCUAAUUUAGAACACUGUAAAUAGCUGGAACCCAUUAUUGCUAUUUUCUCCCAACUAUUUUGUUUACACCUAACAGGAACUAUGCAUAUAAACUGCAAGAGUGGUAGCAUUAUGAAUUACUGCCAAGCACAUGAAUUUUAAACAAUGGCAUGAGACCCUGACCCAGUUAGCUGCUCUUUAAGGUGUAAUGUUACAGUUGCUAGUGCUGAUUUAGGAGGUUGUUUUCUACAUUUUGGCAUAGGCCUAACAGACCCUAUGGCACAAAAGACGGCCUUGACAGUUUAUGGAGUCUAAUAAUUAGGUUUCAGGGAGACUAAUCACACAUUUUCAACUGCUGUUUUGGAAAAAAAAAAAAAACCACCGACUAGCUUGCUACAGAUGUUACUCUCCUUUAAUUUACUGAUGUGCAAUUUUCUGUUCAUAAGUCAAGGGAAAAUGAGAGGAGCUGCUCCCAUUGAAUAUAUGGUAUUUUAAUUGACUUACUGGAAUAAAGUUUCCAAAUGGGCACAUAGGGAGUUUCUUACAUUAUUUCCUUUUGUGGUAAGAUUUAUUGUUGCCUCCCUGUACACCACUUUGUACUUUCAAUCACACUAUAUUCAGAAUCCGUAAUGGUUUACCUACUUACUGGUAUAAUUCUAAAUUCAUAGAUUGCCAAGGAAUGUGUGUGCUUCAUAAUCCUAUAUUUCAUGGACCAUGUAUCAAAGUAUUAUCUCAGUCUUUAGCUAUCUUUCUUUUGUUGUAGAUGUGGUUAAUAGAAGAAAUAAAACCAUGUCAUGGCAGUACAAUAAACCUUCUGCUCACCCCGUAACUGAAUUAUUCUUGCUAAUUACAAUAAACAUUCAUUUUCUUGUUUAUAUGUACAGCCCCUCAAACUUUAAAUUUAUCAUUUCCCCCUCUUACUUUUGAUGUUGCUGAUGCACAUUUAAUCUCAAUUUAUUUCAGCUAGUCAUAGUUACAAAGCUUAAUGUAUGGAAACAAUAUUUAUUCCAGCAGCUGUUAAAAAUCUGUGGAUAUGGAUUAAUGUCAGCUUCUAAAUGUGCAGUACUUUAGUUAAUUCCAUCCAAGGACAGAUGAUAUCAUCCCGUAGGAAGGAAUAUAUUAGAAACUGUCAGCUGAAAGGUAGUAAAAGUAGGUGAUAUGUUAUAAGGAGGACUAAAAGGUCAUUCAAAGAAGAGAUAUUGCUAAUAAGUCAAUUAAAAUUUUUGCACUGACAUUUUACAAAUUUCUGGGUAAGCUCUAAAACAUUUUCUAAGCUAGCUAAAUUCACAUCCCAGAUUGGAAAAACAGAAGUCAUGUCUGUUCUCCACAAAUCCUACAGGAGAUGAGUGAAUUGGGAGUCAACUACCCUGAGAUAAUCCACUUGGAGGGAGUGAAAAGAGGGGGAGGGGUUGAUCAUGCAACCUGCACAACUAAAUCAGCAUAUUAUUGAAGAGCUGUGCUUUGAAGUGGGGGCCCUGAGCCUUAAAAUGCCAUUGGUUAUUUUGUGAAAACAGAGACUAUCCGAUUUUGGAUAGUCCCAUUUUGGACUCUUUUUAGCUAGAAAGCUAUCUCAUCCUAUUCUGCCCUUCAGUUUUAUUAUGACUCUCUUCCUGUGCACAGGGUUUCUCGCAGCUUCUUGCCAGAAUCAGCUGGGAUUUGAACCAUGAUAAGACACUCUGGUCUAGACAGACUGCAGAGGCUUACACUCCCAUGUUCUGCACUGGUGCUCCCUGACCUCACCUUCACUAUAAAUGCUUCUAAGUUUAGCCUUAGUGGUAUUGUUUGGAUGGGUGAGGAUUGCUAUUAAGGCACCAGUCAGGCAUUGCUCACCUGGCUUACUCCCUCCAUGCCCAGUACCUGCUUUCUUCCCAACCCGUUUUCCAGCAUAUCUGCUGCCUUCUUGUUUUCUUAUCCUUUCAUGCUGAUCCUCAGCAGCAAAACACCUGGGUCAUUGGACAGCCACCUUCAGAGGCUUACAGAUGUUAAGGGGGUUGCAUGUCUGCCAUCAAAAGGAGCAGCCCUGCUUCUCUACCCUGUUGUUCCUUUCCCUCUCCACCCUCCUGGUAACUAGUGGUAUUGUCGCAUUGUGAGUUUAUUCAAUUCUGCAAAUGACAAGCAAUAAAGUAGGGAGCGGGAAAAUUUUCAGUACAGUGAUAUCACAUCCUAUGCAAUUUACAGGAUGUUGGGGUUGCUUAGAGCCUGGUAACCUGAACAGAUGUAUGAAGGAAAUUGAAGUGUGCUUCCGACUAAUACUUUUAUUUGAAUGUUUACAUUGAUCAGUGCUCAUUUUGUUUAAAUACUGAGACUACUGAGAAAUGGGCAAAAUUAAGUCACAGGAAAUUAUUAUUUUGUUUAUUUACAGUUUUGUUCAAGAAUAUUAAAACAGUAGACAAAUAGUAUUAAAAGAGCCGAGACAGAGGAGGGAAAACAGCAUUAAAAGCAGAUCUAAAAGUAUAUUGCAAAGUCUUUGUUUUCUAUAUUCCACCUCCUCGUCCUUGUCUGCACUUUUAUGUGUAUCCUUAGCCUUGUUAACUGCACACUUGAAAUUUCCUACAAUGCAGACUGCAUUAUAUUCUGUUCCUCAUAUUGGAAAUUUCAUCAGUAUUCUACUUUCCCACAGAACUGGAAAAUUGCCAGCUAUCCAGAGAUGUUAAGCAACCAUUUAUUCACCUAGAAUCUUAGAAUCAUAUAAUUGUAAAGUUGGGAGGGACUCCAAAGGUCAUCUGGUACAACCUUGUGCAGUGCAGGAAUCUCAACUAAAGCACCCAUGAGAGAUGGCCAUCCACCCUCUGCUUAAAAAACCUCCAAGGAAGGAGAAUCAAUCACCUUCUGAGGGAGUCUGUUUUACCGUUGGACAGCUUUUACUAUCAGAAAGUUCUCCCUGAUCUUUUGUCAGAAUCUUCUUUCUUGUAACUUGUAGCCAUUGCUUUGGGUCCUACCCUCCAGAGCAGGAGAAAACAAGCUAGCUCUAUUUCCCAUGUGACAGCCCUUUAGAUAUUUGAAGAUGGUUAUCGUAGCUCGUCUCCAUUUCUUCUUAUCCAGGCUAAACAUACCCAACUCCCUCAUCUGUUUCUCAUAAGGCCUGGUUUAUAGACCUUUGAUUAUCUUAGUUGCCCUCCUCUGCACACAUUCCAACUUGCCAAUAUCCUUCCUAAAUUGUGGUGUCCAGAACUGGGCACAGUACUUCAGGUGUGGUCUGACCAAGGCAGAAUAGCUGGACCUUUUCUUUCCUUCAUCAGGGCAAUAUAUAUCUGUUGAUGCAACCUAGAAUAGCAUUAGCUUUUUUUUUGCUGCUGCGUCACACUGUUGACCCUCCAAUGUCCUGGUGAUGAAAAUCUGGAUCUCCCCCCCACACACACACAUGUGUGGCACAACCUCAGUCAUGGCAGGCAAGUGGAAACUCCACCUUCGGGGCACUCUACCUGCUGCUCCCCUCCACUACUGCCAGGUACUGAGCAUGAAAAAGAGGGCCAGUUUGGCCACCCCCUCAAUCCCAGUGCACCUCUUUUGGAGCUGGAUUCUGUAUCCAUCCACCCCUGCAACCUGGUACUCAAGCUCAAUGGAGCUGUUACCUGGCAUACCCUGGUAGAAGCACUCCCUGCACCUGGCCGGCAGCAAGAAGGUGAACUUGACCUGCGGGGGUGGGUGGGCAUCACUGAGGACCCUUUGGGGCAUCUCUAAAAGCAGCAGCAGCCUGAGCACAGAGGCCAUGGCUGCCAUCAUUGUUGGGGUCCUUCCUGACACCAGAAGGAGAGCAAAGCUGAGCUGCCUGCUUGGAAAAGAAGAGGUAGUCAUACUUGGGAGGGAGGCAGGCGACAGAGGAAGCACGGAAUGCAACUCCAGCCUUCCACUAUGAUGGCACUGUGCACAUUUCUCUUGUUACAAGCGUAUUUGGAUAUUGCUCUCUUGUGUGAACUUGUGCAAGAGUGUGGGACCAAAAGAUGGGAUAUUACAGGAUCCAAUCAGCAGCCGGGGGGGAGGGGCUUCUGUAAUUGUGCUAAAUCAGGACUGUUGAUGGGUAUGUAUUUGUGCAGUUGGUUGUUCCAUCCAGGUGUAGAACCUUACAUUUUUCUCUAUUGACAUUCAUUUUGUUAGUUUGGAGCCAGUUCUCCAAUCUGUUAAGGUUAUAAAGGUAAAGGUAAAGGGACCCCUGACUGAUAGGUCCAGUCGCAGACGACUCUGGGGUUGCGGCGCUCAUCUCACUUUACUGGCCAAGGGAGCCGGCGUACAGCUUCUGGGUUAUGUGGCCAGCAUGACUAAGCCACUUCUGGCGAACCAGAGCAGCGCAUGGAAACACUGUUUACCUUCCCGCUGGAGCAGUACCUAUUUAUCUACUUGCAUUUUGACAUGCUUUCAAACUGCUAGGUUCAGGUCAUAUUGAAUCUUAAUUCUGUUUUCAGUGGCAUUAGCUACUCCUUGCUGCUGUCAAUGUGGUAGGCAGAGAUUUGAUAGGGUAAGACCCUCACUUCCUAGGCUGGGCUGCUCCAUGGUGUUUUUGUUGUCAUACGCCAGACUUUGCUAGGGAGCCGAGUUUGUGUUCCCUAUCUCACUCCAAAUAAAGUCUUUGGUAAUGUCUGAGCAUGACUUUAACAAUUGAAAGUGUUUGUCUACCCAGUGAAACCAGAAAUGGCCAUUGCUUUAUCAUAAAAUAAGCAGAGACUUUGUCUAAAUCAUGCAGCUCUUGGAAAGCCAAAUUAAUUAGGCGGAGAUGUUGCAGAUUCUAUGAAUGAAGCCAUAUUUUUUUUGCUGCUUAAGCUACUUUAAAAGUUUAGCAUAUAUAUAUAAUUGGAGUACUUUUGAAAUGUGCUUCAACCCUGGCAGUGAGUGAUUUAGUCUACCAUAUUGCUGUUGCAGCAGUUUUUUUUAAAAAAAAUAUUCUAUCUGGAAAAGUCAAUUUUAUUUCAUUCUUUUCAUCCCUUUAAGUCUUCGUUGUAUUAUUAUUGAUGCAUAUAAGUGGCUUUUUAAAACAUCUAGCCAUCUGUGUAAUAUGUUUCUAAUGAUCACUCUUGAUCAGAUAUUUUUCAGUAUGCCACAUUUAUAUUAAUCAAAGAGUGAACUGUUUUCUAAAUUAAUGAUCUUAAAGUUGUUCCAGCUUGAUAGUAGUGAAGGGGUAGUGGUGUCUUUGAAAAAGAUUUGUUAACUUUAAGGACUUUCUGUUUCAAACAGACUCCUUUUGGGAAUGAGAUGCACCUGCUAGAAAUUGAGUGCAGCAAUACAAAUUUAUAGUGUUAAUUUUUCACUCUUUCAAUGUCCAGGUGCUGCUGCUACUGUAGAUGUAACCAGAGGUCAGUUUAAUUAAGAUCGGCCCUUUUCUCUUGGAUGAUAUGUGCUGAAUUGUUGUCACUGAGGGCCUCUCAUCCUUUUGUCCAAUGCCAGCAGCUGGUGACAGCUUGGCAAAUUAUGAGUUUCUUGGCUUAAAACAGACUAAAUUGCAGACAAAACAAGCCAUCAGCUGAGUAAAUACCGCACCUCUGUUUGGCUUCAUGGGAAAGGAGGAGAUUAGCAUGAGUACUUAGUGUUCAUAAUUACUAGUAAGAGGCAAAUAGUAGGCUCAGGCUGACUGGAGAUUGUUCCAUUAUAUCCAAUUAACACCCACUUGAUUGUUCUUAAUUACUUGGGUUUGAUGACAGCAGAGCAGACAUGUCAUUCUUCAAACGUACAACUACCACCUGGGUCACUGAUAUACCUAUACACAAUGAUAAAACAUUAAGUUCAUUGUGAAAGGGCUGUUGAAUAUUGUGGCUGUUAUGUAAUCAUGGGCGGCCGGGGGGGGGCGGGGAAUACAGAGUCUUUUGUUUAUUUCUUAGCUCUUCUUCAUGAGCUUGAACUGCUAAAAUGGAAUUCUCUUGCGCCAACUUUCACAAUGCCGGGGGGGGGGGGGAUGACAUAGAUAUUGCUGGGAGAUAUUCUAAAAUAAAGUGCUGGUGAUAAUCAGAAAUAAGGUUAAAUUGCCUGAUUUGAAACUGGCAAAAUGCUGUAAAUGAAGAAAUGCAACUUUGGACACAGGGGACUGUUUGUUUGUUUGUUUGUUUGUUCCUUGAAGUAGAUUAAUUUUCACCCAGACCCAAACACUUCUUUUGAAAAUUCAGAAGGCAGGGGCUUUAGAUAUAAAUGCCACAGCCAUCUUUUUGCUUGCAUUGAUCCCUGGGCAACAGUAAAUAGAAAUUAGAGUGCACUGGAGCUAAAGUUGGAAACCUCUCUGUCUUGACCCUAGCAAAAACCACUGAGCUUUUUGUGUGUAUGUGUGUAUUUGCUGUAACAACCCGGCACAGCCACUCUUCUGCAGUUUUAUUGCCAAAGAUGUGAUAAAGUCAGUUGUGACGAGUGAUAAAAGGACCCCCCCAACAGUUCAUGUGCAACUAUCCUUCCUUCCUUUUUAAUUUUAGACUGUUUGCUUUAGCGAUUUCCCUUUUCAUUCAACUCCUGUUGUUUAUAGCAGGGAACUAUAAAUAUUUGUCCCUCUUUCAGGGAACCUCAUAGAGCCAAAAUAUGAGCUUUUCAUCUUGAGCUGAGGUUAGCUGAUUUCAGUUUCAUGUGGUCCAGUUUUGUUUUAUUUUCGACUGAAUUUUUCUUGGAAUCCUUCUGAGUCCACCAGUGCUUGAAGUGUAGGAUCCAGCCUCGCUACCUUUUAUGCUGUGCCCUUAGCAACUUUAGAAGGCUACCAGAUGGCAUGAGUUGGCUGAAAUGGGGGGACAAGGAAGAUGGGGCUUGUGGAUUUCAUUUAUAUUUUCAUUUUAUUUCAUGUAUUUAUACCCCACUUUUAGGACGUCUUAACAAGGCAGCUUACAAAAAAGUAAACUAAUCAAUGAUAGUAAAAACAAUAAAAUACAUACAGUGAAAGAAAGUGCAGCUAAAAGGAUUCAUGAAAGCCAGUCAGGACACACAAUUUGUAAAUUGUAUUGCCUGUCUCCCCACCUCAGCUCCAAAUAAUUCAAGCACAAGGAUCCACUAAUUUGUGCUAAAUUGGUAAAGAAUCUAAACUCAGGACCUGCUAAAAUUUAGGGUACAACUGACCUGCGCUAAAUGAUAUUGAGUGUGUACCCUUCACAGUGCUCCAUGAUUUGCUUUACACUAAACCCUGAUACUGAGUGUAAUGCUUGAGGGACAGCGAGUUUUUGUAAAAAAUGGUAUCAUCAAACACCUUCACUCAGUGCAAUUAACCAAAGAGUAUUUUCAGAUAUAAAGGAUUUGGUUGCAAUUUUCUUUAUCCACCCCACCCCAGCAGUUGCUUUCCCCACUAAGUUUAGAGGGAUGCCUGCUUGGUUUCAUCAUGGCGUCUUUUUGGGGGGGGUGUAGGAGGAAGAGAGAAAGAAAGAGGGAGAUACUCAUAUAUAUUCUGUUGUGCAUAUAGGACAUGCCAUGUGGCCCUUUGAAUUGAGGUCAUCUCUAGUGGGAUAGCUUUAUAAUUCCAGUCUGUUCCUUCCUUACAGGUGUCCUUUAAGGGAGCGCUUUAAGAAGUUGUACUCAAUUUAACUUAAGACAUAAGUAAUUCUUCCAAUUCAGAGCAAUGGCUCAGAACCUUGGUAAAUGUUCGUCGUGCUAAGAAAUUAUCUUAGUUUCCUUCCCAAAUGUUAUUUUAUGUAUUACUGUAAUGGCCUUGUUCUCUUAGAUAUGGUCGAAUGGCUAUAUCAACCAGGCUCAUUUUCAUGCUGUCUCUUGGUUUCUUCAGUUUGCCAUUCAGGCAUCAAAGCAUGUACCUUUAUCUAAUUUUCCUGGAAUCUUUCUCUCCCUCCCCCCACCCCAGGUGUAGUUCCCACAUUUAUACCUAGUACAACAUACCACUUAAGGGGAGUAAUAUUGGGCCCUGUCAGAGGUACAUGGAAGAGGACAUGUCUGGUUUCAUUUGCUGAUCUUUUCUUGCGUAGAUCUACUUGCGUCUGUGGGCCCACCCUUCUCCAAUUUGUACUUCUGAUAAAGUUCAUCCCAGAUUACGUUUGUUGUUAGUCUUCAAUGAAACUUCACUGCUUUUGUUUUUUUCAGAAGACAAAGAAAUUUAAUUCCACAAAACCCUUAAAACCCUCAGUCAGUCACUAUUAUAAAUUCCUGUAUAUACUACUGUUACUUAAUAACCACACAUAUUAAAUGAAAAUAUUUUUAAAAACAUGUAUUUUGAAAAUGUAUAGUACAAUGUACAUACAAAGCACGGUAUUUCAGAGUGUGCACUGUACCAGAAUAUAAAUGGUAUUGCUUAUAAAUUAACAGCAAAGGGCAUUCUUCAGUGUGAAAUACCUAAAGAGGAGGAAAAUGUUUUCACUUUGCCAGUUCAUGAUGAAUGUUAAGCCCAAACCAUAUCUUAGUACGAAUGAGGAAAUGUGCAGGUUCCUUGACAGAAGAUUGUAGGCACUUUGCUGCUCCUCUGGGCUAACUGCCAUCACACUACUUUGAGCUAAGCCAUGGUUUGGCUUAGCAUUGUCUGAAUCAGGGCUCAUGGCUUUUAUCCCCCAAACAAACAACAAUUGGAAAGUCGGAGGACAAACAUUGGCUACUGUCAGGAUUCUUCUGGCAGUUAGUUACAAUGGAUGCACAUAUUUACAAGCUAGGUUUUAUAAACUGUUUUUACAAUAAGAAUAGCAUAAAGUGGCAUACAAAGAUUUAAAACUAUACAAGAAACAGAAGAGGAAUAUAGAAGAGGAAAUGAAUAAUUUUUCCAGUUUCUUGCAGUAUAAUAUGCGAAUCAAGCCAUUAUUAUUAUUAUUAUUAUUAUUAUUAUUAUUACUAUUAUAUUUACUAAUUCAAGCUAUGAUCCUUUGCAUGUUUACUUGGCUGCAUUCAAGACAGUGAACUUUCUUCAGGGUAGUCAUGCAUAGGAUGAUAAUGAAAAUCAGUACAUAAUACGUUUAUUAUAUUAUUUAUAUGUUAUUUUUCUUAAGUCAAAGCCCAGCCCAAGUGGUUUAUACAUAGAGUGAAAACAACCAAACAUUUGCACCACAUGAAUACAAGCAGCCCCAGUUUACACAUGUUCAAUAUGUGUGCGGCCAUGUAUAGGCACAUUAUGCCGAACCCAGAUGUGACAUGGAAAUAUCAUAAAGAUGUCACUGAAACGUCACUAAGAGGGCAGAAGGGGGGGCAGGAUGGGGUGUUUACAGGCUUUUUCAAUGGGUUUCAAUUAUACGCAAUUUCACUGACGUUUGUGGUGCCUCAGAAUGUAACCCCUGCGUAAACGAAGCCUGUCUGUACAAAAAAUGCAGCCCUUUUACAAUAAAUUUUCAGAAUCCCUAAAAAUGAGGAAGAGAAGCUGAAACAGUAAUUCUAAGAUGUUGCAUAUAGAUAUUUAUGAUUUUAAGUAGCUUGGGUUUUUGACUUGGGCUGUAAAUUUUCAGGCAUUCAUUUUGAUGAUGUGGGCAUUAAACUAGCAAAAUGUCACAUUAACUUAUCUGAACGCUGAUUCUUUAUUCAGUCAGUUCUUGUGAGGGGUGGGUGAGAACGAAACAGGCUUCAUUUAUAUUGGUAGUCCCCCCCCCCCAAACUUAAAUUACACUGAAGCAUUUGGGGAGGAUGACAUGUGUGCAUCUUUGUCAUAUCUUUUAUCAUCACUACCAUUUCUCCAUCUAAUACAACUUGUGACAAACGCGAACGUUAAUUACAGUUAACAAAGCAAUGUGAUGUGAAGUGUUCAUAUAUUUUUUUAAAGGAAAGAGCCAACCCAAUCAGUGAGAUUUCAUCUUACGCUGAGCUUCCAGUCAAAGUUCAGAAGUCAGAAAUCAAGUACCAUCAGUUAUCAAAUUAUGUUAAUGAUUCUAAUGAAAGCUUCUGGUAUUUUGCUCAACACUGUGUUACUAUUAUGGUUACUAAUAGGACAAGAAAAGCUGAUAGCCGUGAAUAAAUUAAAACUGACUGCUAGUGUUCUUUUUUCAUAUUUGACAAUCUGUUUAGUUACUGAGAGUUUUCAUGUAGGGCUCGUGUUAGGGUACAGAGUGUAUAUUUUAAUCAUAUUAGCACACAUAAAAAACUACUUUCACAUAUUAUUAAGGCUGUGGGAUGCAAACCAUCAGAAGGAAAUAAAAUCAAUGUGAAAGGCCAACACAUACCCAACAGUUGUGCCUGGGUUCUGACUGGGGAUUGGGCAGCCAGUGCCAUAGAGAUUCCAGGUCACUGUACAGAGCUCAUGAUUGCAUGAAUGCCUCCCCCAUCCAGUGCGAGAAAAGCCCUAGAAUUUUCCAUUAGAGGAAAGAGAUGUGGAGUGAGGGAGAAGCUAGCUAUGGGGAGAUGGUGCCAGCUUUCCUAACGCUCCAGAAAAUUUGCAUGCACACACAGACUGCAGGAAGUUGCAACAACUUUCUGCUAUCCUAACCUAUAUCAUGCCAGCCCCAUCACUUGCAAUUUUAUUUCUAUUUUUACCUUUACCAAUGUUACAUUAUUUCAUCACUUUUAGCUAAUGAUAAAUAUACAGUGCAGUCUUUGUUAAGUAGUUUAGCAAGCAUCUAAAGUUGCAAAUGCUGCUGGACUUUGUCAAAUGAACACAGCUAUUUUUGCCAGUUCACAUCUCUUGGAGUAAAUGGAGUUCCUUCCAAACACUAAUACUGGUUUGUAAAUGAUCUUGCCGUAUCUUGGAUAAUUUUUGCACCCUGUCUUAACAUUUCUUGAAUCAUUUUUGGUGCCGUCUUUCCAGCUUUAUGUAACAAUUUACCAGGAAGCCCAUUUAAUGAGUACAGGCUGAGGGCUCCUUAAGGUCCAAAAGGGCAGUUUACAUUCUAAAACUAGGUCUAAAACCAGACUGGAGUGGAUUCAAAUAAUAGUCUCAUUCAGAAAACUCUGGAGCUGAUACGCGGGCACACCAGAUUGAAUACAGGUUGAUAGGUCUUAAUAUUGCCAGGGUCAAUGGUGGAUUUAUUUAACAAGGGCUUCACCACAGCCUCUUUCAGAACUUUGGGACCCCUUCCUCCCUAAGGACAGAAUUGACUACUUCUCAGAAACAAAGACUAUGACAUGCCAAAAUUUGCCAUUUUAAGAAGCCCAUAUGGACAAGAGUCAGCUAUGCACAUGAAUGUAGAAAGAGCCCUAUGCUCAGCCCAGAAUUCUUUUCUCACAGUGGCCAACCAGAUGGCUGUGGGAAGCCCACAAGCAAAGCAUGAGCACAACAGCCCUCCCUGUUACUGUUCUCCACCAACUGGUAUUCAGAGGUAGAACCAUCCAGAGGGGAAACCAUCAGUAGCCACUGAUAGGCCUAUCCUCCAUGAAUUCGUCUAAAUUCAUCAAAGUGAGUGACCAUCACUACCAAUUGUGAUAGCAAAUUCCAUAGUUUGUGCUGUAUGAAGUACUUCCUUUGAUUUGUCCAGAAUCUCUCAUCACUGAAUGUCCAUUGUACGUGUUAUGCACACAAUAUAUUAUGAAGCAUUAUGAGUCUGCCUUAUGUCCUCAAGGCCAACAGUCCAAAAGUGUCUUGACUAGACAGAGUGACUGUAUCCUCUAUCUCCGAACUUGUUUCAAAAGUGGAAUCCAAGUUAGAAUGCAUACAAGUGAUUUUAUCUUCACUUGUCUUCAAAACAGUCACAGUCAGCCACUGAUGAUUCUAUCAUUUCCCUGCCAUUGUCUAAUUGUAGAAGGCCUUUCAUCACCUGGAAGAGCGCCAUUUGUUGAUACUGAGCAGACUGCUAUAGGACUAAUGGUUUUGAUUAGUUUUGUUCCUUAAAAUGGUUGGGAUUCCUAGAAUUCUGAAUCUGUGAGAAGUCUAUUCCUCUUGUGGAUACGACAAAACAUUUUAUGACUCUGUGAGUUUUUGUAUGCAACAUCUUCCUUGCCAGAUGCAGGAACAGAGUGGCCAGUUCAUAGAUCAACAUGCUGCGAAAAUGAUAUAGAAAAGGAAAAUUAAAAAAAAACCACCUGAUUACUGAAGCACAAGACGUAUAAUUAAUGUAACUCUAGAUACUAAGAUUGCAUUCAGUAAGAGAGACUUCAGCACUUCUUGAUCCAUUUUAUUUCUGCCACACCAGGGGCUAAAAAAAAGUAAAAAAGUAAAUGCGUCAGUAAGGGAUUUGACAGUGUGUUACGACAGUCAUCAAUCCUUGUGAGCCUUGUGGCCAUAAAUAAGCUUCAUACCGCGCCACACUAAAGAGGACAGUUUCUCUUCUGCAGGACAUUGAAAAUGUCGCAGCUAGGGAAUUGUUUGUCCCUGUCGCCACGACAACGCCACCAUCACUUAUCAUUUACUUUCACACCAAGUUUUUUUCUUCCCUUUUCUUUUCUUAGAAAAACCCCACACUGAGGUCUUUGUAGCGAUAAAACCAAGUCAACAUCGGCCCAAAUUUUCAAAGCCGUUAUUCUAAUUACAAUGAGGAGCUAUAGAUUGAUGAGCUUAGUUUUUCGCAAGGACUGGUGGCAGUUAAUUCCUGUGACCUGUGUGGCUCCAGUAGUCUCUUUUCGAGAUGGAGUCUUGGAAGUUCGAUUAUUAGUGACAUCUUGUAAGUGAGAAGAAGCUUAUCUCUCCAGAGAGUGUUGAUAACUUGAGACAAGGUUUAACUAGCAAGCAGUGAGACAGUGUAUGGCAAAUAAAUAAAUAAAUAAAGCCCUGCAUUCCUGAUUUUGCUGCAAGAGCACAGUAAUGAGGAAAUACCAACCACCACAAUUUCACAAGUUGUAAACUCACUGGUAGCUUUCAGUUGUGAAUUCUGGAGAAGCCUCUUUCACUCUGCUUUAUCUGAUAAUGUGUGAAAAUAUUAGUCCUGCUGCUUCUCAGGCCUGAACAGCCAGUGCUCAGGGCCAGAUGCAUUUGAAUACAUACAGGUUUAGAGACUUGUGAGAAAUAAAUGAGAAUUGGUAGAAUUUUGUUUCAACCUAUGGGAGUGGUAAUGGGAAACAUUGCUUGCACCAUCCAUUUUCUGUGCUUUAAAUGUACAUUUUGUCUCUUUUGUUUGUGUAGAAACGGGAGUAUCUAUGAGUUGCAUGAGUGCAGCAAUUUGAAAAGAGAGGUGCUGUGGUGACCAUUUGUGAAAACUGGUUUACGCCCUAUGCUCUGUGAUUCUAUGAGAACUCUACAUUUUAGUUAGUCCUAUGCGGCGGUUUGAAUCCCCGUGACGGGGUGAGCUCCCGUUACUCGGUCCCUGCUCCUGCCAACCUAGCAGUUUGAAAGCACGUCAAAGUGCAAGUAGAUAAUUAGGUACCGCUCCAGCGGGAAGGUAAACGGCGUUUCCAUGCACUGCUCUGGUUUGCCAGAAGCGCCUUAGUCAUGCUGGCCACAUGACCCGGAAGCUGUACACCGGCUCCCUCAGCCAAUAAAGCGAGAUGAGCGCCACAACCCCAGAGUCGGUCACGACUGGACCUAAUGGUCAGGGGUCCCUUUACCUUUACCUAUGCAUGCUUACCUGAGAAUGAAAAUGCAGCAGGCAUGUCUAUUUUGGCAAAUGGGCCACAGUCCCACCAGCUUCCGUCUGCUCUCAGCCAGCCUGCACCUGCCUGCCUACGUAAUGACAACCAGGCCAGGGGGUGACCCUGCCUGUCAGCUUUACCUUCCUUAGCCUUAGUUUUGCUCUUGUAGAACUCAGCAGGGAGGAGAAUGGGGACAAAAUUAUAAUUAGUUGGCUCUGCCUGUCAUUAGCACUGGCUUCAUCUACUGUUGGCCUCCCUGGUUUUCACCCCACCAAUCCCAAUGAGGCACCAGCCCAGGGGAUAGGGUUGCCACUGUAUUUCCAUCAAAAUAAACUGUGGCUUUGCUUUUAACUGUUAUUUUGGGUCAUGUGUGUCCAGUAGUGUUCCUUGUGCUGCUGGAAGGCCCUUUGACAGUCCACCAGAGGCUUCUAUCAGCAGAACAGAUGGAUAAUUUCCAGUGCCAUCUAUUCUCUCUCUCACCUGCAGCUCCUCUGAAGAGUCUACCAAGUCAUUAAAGAAGAUUUUGGGGGUUUGCACAGGGGGAAAUCAGCAAAAAUUAUCCCCUCCCCAUACCACUGACAGAAGCCUCCACUGGAUCAAAUAUCUUAUGACAGCACAAAGUAUAAUGUUAGAUUCCUUUCCCUUCCUUCCAAUAAUGAUUUUUUGUGUAGACGAGUGUCUUACCUAAAUAUAUUAGGUACGGUGGUACCUCGGGUUACAUACGCUUCAGGUUACAUACGCUUCAGGUUACAGACUCCGCUAACCCAGAAAUAGUACCUCAGGUUAAGAACUUUGCUUCAGGAUGAGAACAGAAAUCGUGCUCUGGCAGUGCGGCGGCAGCAGGAGGCCCCAUUAGCUAAAGUGGUGCUUCAGGUUAAGAACAGUUUCAGGUUAAGAACGGACCUCAAUGAACGAAUUCAGUACUUAGCCCGAGGUGCCACUAUAUAUUAAAGUAGCAUUGGAGUCCUGUGUCCCACCCCAUGUGUUUUCAUGCUAUAAAUGUUGGUCUACUCUACAGUGAACACGUGUAGUUUGUUCCUUGCUGAAUUUCACUGCAAAGUUGCUAUCUUCUUAAAGUUCAAUCUAUAGAACUCGAAUUUUGUAACUGGUAGAGCUGUUAAAUACAUUUUUCCUAUCUCUUUUUUAAGCCUCUCCUUGUUAAUUAGAAGUGUACAUAUUGGGAAAUUAACUAUGAAAUACUAAAAAUGAUAAAUUAUUCCAUAUUUGAAAGUAUAAAUUAAAGGUUUAGUGUAUAUAAAAUUUGUCAUGUUUAAUUGCAAGUUCAAUUAAAAUUCAGGAUAAUGAUGAUUUAUACAGGUUUCUGUGUAAUUUGAUAUUCAUUAGCUUAGCCAGACACAUGCUGAUAUUAGCUCGUUAAUUAUGUUUCCUUUUGUUGAAAGCAGCCUUGUGAAAGCAAUCUGCUCAAAGUUUUCCAAACUCAUUCUGCUAAAUGAAUAUUUAGCAGCUGUUCGUGUUAUUGAGAUGGUCACUGCGGCUUCAUUUCACUCAUACAUGGCAUCAAUCAUACCUACUGUAUGACAACAAGGUUUUCUCAUUACAAACCCAUUUAUGAAGGUUAUGGGUGACGUUAACAAGUUAUUGCAUGGCAGUAUAACACAACUUUACAGUCAUGUAGUUUACAUUUAGUUUCUUCAAAUAGCUUGUGGUCCAAAUGUUGGGAAAGUGUAGGAACACACUGGCAAAAAUUACUCAUAUACAAAUUAUUGUAAUUGGCUGUUGUAGUACUGGGGUUGAUUGAUUGAUUGAUUGAUUAUGGUUUUUGAACACCGAAUUAUGGAUACCUUAGAGCUGCCUUUUCAUCCCCCAACCCUACCCCCCGAAAAAAAUCUAAGUGUUCACAGCAAGGAUAUCUAUGAAGCUGUUCUUGAUGGUUACUUUUGAAACUUUCCCCUUUGAAAGUCUCUGUGUUUCUGAGCAUCUUUUAGAAAUGGUUGGCUUGAUCUGGUCCAACAGUGCAUACAGUAUGCCUGAUCAGAGGGAUCUUACCUGGUGCUCCCCAGCUUUCUCCUACCUAGUACUCCCCAGAUAUUGUUGGAUCACAACUUCCAUCAUCCCUUAUCAAUGGUCGUGUUGGCUGGGGGAAGACUGUUGGAGAAGAUGGUCCUAGGGGAUAAUAAUGCCUCCCUGGCUUCUUCCCUUGGGAUACAUGUAUGAGUAAGAAUCAAUAUGUAAUAGGGAAUGGGAACCCUGUGUAUAUUUCUCAUAUAUCUGUCUUCCACUUGGUCAAGGGAUAUGUGAUGAUGUAUGGGAUCCUUCCAUGAAUGGGAACUGUGCCCAUAGUAGGACUGGAUUGAUCCCAGCGUGUUUGAUUUAAUAACUGCUUUUUGUGUUGGGACCACAACUUCCAGCAACUCCAGGAUUGAUUAUGGAUGGUAUUUGUGACAUUGAACAAGGUACUUCCAGUUGCGCCCUUACUGUUAAGGGGAUAGAACUUCAUUAAAAAUGCUGCUUCUCCCGCACAGCGGUUUCGUUCAUCAAAUUAGAGCUUUUAGUUCAUUUGUUGAAUAUGAAAGUACUUACCUUUUAAGAGUAUUGUUUUUCUGUGGCUUCAUUCAAUUCACCACUGUUUAAGCAGAAAAAAGUUAAUUCAUAUUAACAAGUCAGUACUGGGAAAAUAGUUAGCGAGUUAAGUAUCUGGGCCAUGUAGUCAUAACAUUUCUGCUUGAACAGCUAGGGUUCUGUUGGAAGUGGCUUGUCGGGCAAAGUGUAUUUGAAGAGUUUUGCUCAUAAGCUCUGCUUCUCAUGAUUAAGCAGUGCUGCCUCUUUUCUGUAGCUUUUCCUUUUCUAUCACUCUUUCACUCAGCAGCUCUUUGAAGUUAGAAGUUAUUCUGAUCUGUCUUGAGUACUAAUUUUUAAGAAAUCUAGAUAACCAUGUAACUCCUUCCUCAAAUCUCCCUCCCUCCCUUGCAAUGUACAUUAUUAUUGAUGCCAACCUUCUUCUACUGCUACCACUAAGUUUUAUUCCACAGUAGGCUUCUAAGUGGUUUACAAGUGUAACUAUCAGUUAACAAAGCAUUAAAAUAUAAACAUCCAUUACAUCUAUAUGAAACCUUUGGGAGCUGUCAUCAGUGGAGUCGCAACGGGGGGGGGCGGUGCGCCCCGGGUGCCAUGUCUGGGUGAGUGACAAGAAGGCACUCCAUGGAGGCUGCGGUGGCACGAGCAGCCAUCGCGCCGCCACAGCUGCAUGUGGAGGACCCUCCAUUUGCAGCUGCCGCCAUGAGCAGAGGAUCCCAGUGCCGGUAGCAAACUGCUAUGUACAGCACAUGUGCGGCAUCACACGCAUGCACUGUACGUAGCGAUGCCACAUGUGCACUGUACAUAGCAGUUUGCCGCCGGCGCUGCUCGAGCACUGUACAGACGGCGGGGAUCCCUCUGUCGCCACUACAGCUGCAUGUAGAGGAUCCUCCGUUCGUGGCUGUAGUGGCGACAGAGGGAUCCCACCGCCAUCCAUAUGGCGCUGGAGCAGCGCCACCGGCAAACCACUAUGUACAGCGCAUGUGUGGCAUCGCUAUGUAGUGAUGCCGCACAUGUGCCCUAUGUAGCGACGUCCUGCCCCGGGUGUCACAACGCCUUUGUUCGCCCCUGGCUGUCAUCAGGAGAUUUGGAGUGAAGCGUCAUCAAUAUGCAGAUGACACCCAGCCCUGUCUCUCUGUUCCAUCUGAAUCUGGAGAGGCAGAGUACUAGAGGUGUUAGACCAGUGCUAGGAGGUGAGGAUUGGCUGGAUGUGGGGCAAUAAAUUGAGGUUAAAUCCUGAAAAGGCAGAGAGGUGUUAUGUAUCCUGGGUUCUUACAUCCGGGAGGUAGGGAGACAGCCUGUCCUGAAUGGUGUUGCAGGUCCUCAGCUUCAGAGUGUUCUUGAAUUCAACACUGUCACAGGAGACAAGAUCUUAGAAUGGAUUUGGUAGCUAAUAGGCAGCCAAUCCCAGGAGUGAUAUGUGCCCAGUAAGGGGCAUCACUCACCACUCAGGUGACAGGAUUUUGCACCAGCUGCAAUCUCUGGACCAGCUAUAAUAAAAACACCACAUAGAGCACAUUGUAGUAGUAAAAAUGUGGUUAUUGGUGCAUGUGUCUAAGCUACUCCUCUACAGGAAGGGACACAGUUGACACAUCAAAUGAAACUGGUGACAUGCACUCUUUGCCAGGGAGGCCACUUGACCAGUAUACCUUCUGCAACCCUAUUUAGAAAACAUAUUUAGAAACAGCAAAUCUUGCCUCAAUUAUUCAUGCUUUAGUUACAUCCAGACUAGAUUAUUGUAAUGCACUCUAGGCUGGGCUGCAUUUGAAGACGGUUCAUUAAUUGCAACACACAGCAAGAGCAUACAUGAAGCUUUUCUAGGUGCAAAAAACAACACCCGUGCAAGGAAUUGCUUCUUGAACAAAAGCUCAUCUUUUUGUGAUACAACACAGAGUAAUAGUUUUAAAAUUAUUUAUAGAAUGAAAUCCCAACUUUGUUGAAAAAUACUAUCAUUGCCUGCAAUUCCCAUUAGUUUCCCUAGACUUAAAGAACAAAGAUUUGGCAGUAUUUCAGUGACAGAAUGCUAUAUAUAAUUUGUCAGGGGACCUGUUGACCUUAUGUAAAUUUGCCUUUUUGAGAAGGUUUUGUUAUUAUGAUCGCAGUUGCUAGAGCAGUUGUGUAAACUUAGCAACAGUUGAUAUGUUACUGUCAAGUUUCAUGAGCUAAGUUGCCCUCAAAGGUAGAAUCAGCUCUUUGCAAAGUUCACACCUAUAAUUCAGAAAUAUUAUUUAUGAAGAAAGAACACAUUCUGGAACAAGUAGAAGGCUUCUGAUUCUGUCCUUUGGGGCAGCAAUGACUUGGCCCCAGUACUCCAUGCUCUUGAAGACAACUUGGCAACUUCAAUUGGUCCAAAAUGCAGCAGUCAGUUAGCUGGGAUUCCAUUUAGAACACACAUAUAUAUAACCCCUAUUUUAAAAUAGCUGCAUUGGUUGGCAGUUCAUUUCUGGGCCUAAUUCAAAGUGCUCACAUUAGUUGUAGAGUCCUAAAUAACUUAGGCCCCAUGCCCCAUGUAAAGUGACUUCCCAGCUGUUCUCUGCUAAUUUCCUUUUAGUUCCCUCCUUUGGAAAGGCUGUGGGAUCUAUAAUGAACUAGUCGAGGGGCAAUAAACUGAAACUGUCCAAACAAAAAUGGGGUUCUGUGGGUAGGUGGUUGUGAAGAGAGAGACAGUGUUCCAACGUGUUAGUCCUGCAAAGAAUCAGAUUCGGAGCCUGCAGUUAUUUUUAGAUCCACCUUUGUUAUUGUAGGCCCAGGUAGCUUCUGUGGUAUCAUAGGCUGCUAUGCCAUCUGGGACCUUUGCUAGUGAUAACCUAGGCAGAGUUAUUGAUGCUUUGGUAGCAACUGGGAUUGACUAAUAUAAUGCAUAGUGCAUGGGCAUACCUUUGAAGACGGUUCAAAAACAGCUGUUAGAGAGUUACACUUACUCUCUUCUGUGAAGAACAAAGUCUUCCAUCCGGGCUUCUAUUUCUUGGCCAGUCUGUAUGCCAAGCCUGGGAACCUGGCAUAUGUGUGUAUGUCUGCAGUUAUGAUAUGGAAGUGUGCAAAGUAUCGGGUAUUGAAAGGUAAACUUUAACACUGGGACCAUUUUAAUACCUAAUCCUAAUAAUCUUUACAGGACUGAAAUUUGUUUUCAUGCUCACUGUUUUUGAUUCCCGUUUCAGAUUUGCAAGAUAGAAAUAUACAAAAGAAAAAGAAAGAAAAGGAAUGUCCUUGUUUCUUUAUCUGCCGCAACAUUGCCUCUGAGCCGAUUUCUCUGUCUGUCCAUCCUGAUGGCAUGCAAAAAGCAGGAUUAAUCCUUUCCUUGUUACUAAAUUUUGUCUGUGUGAAAUUUUUCUGAGCUUAGUAUGAAUGAUAUUCCUCAAGAGGAAAUUUAUUCUUGUAAGGAUUUCCUUAGUCCACCAAGAGAGACUCUUCCUGGCAUUAGGGGAGCAAGAUGUAGGCCGAGUGGAAAUGCACCAAACUGAUUUAAUAGAAAAAGGUAAUUCCUAUUCAAACUGUAUGGUCCCUUAUUCAUUUCUUCGGAUUAUCAUCAAAUUUAUGUCACCAGCAAAAGGAGCUUUAUUGAGUUUCACA